GUGGAUUCACCUGGAAUUAAAAAAGUCUAUUUACCUUUUAUGUGAGAGUAUCCACUUCACACUCUGUUUUGUUAUUAACAGAAUGCUUGAAUUCUAGGUCCUUGAAGUGAUUGAAAGAAAGCCAAAUCUGCGGAAAAUCUCCUUUGUUGCGCAUUCCGUUGGAGGUUUAGUGGCAAGAUAUGCAAUUGGGAGACUGUAUAGACCUCCUAAGAUAGAGAAUGAAGAUUCAUCGGCUGAUACAUCAUCAGAGAACUCAAGGGGUACAAUAGCUGGCUUAGAGGCUAUUAACUUCAUCACUGUUGCUACACCUCAUCUUGGUUCGAGGGGUAAUAAGCAGGUAUGUUUUUAUCUUUACAGUUUUAACUUAGAUUCAUUUCUUCAUUAAAGUCAAAUUUCAUGAACAUAAAAUGAAAAACAUACUUUAAGAAAGCUUUGUGAAGGAAAAUUAUAGCUCAUAGAAUCAUUUGGGAUGGCUGUGAAAGCAGAGAGCUUGUUUUAUUUUUCAUUGGAGGCAAGCAUGUGGUAGUACUUGAAUUGUUCCAUUGAAGUGCUGAUUUUUUUAGUAUGGGCUAUUUAAUGCAGCAAGGGUGUAGGAUCCUUCUGAAUUAGUCUGGCUGAAAGUGACAACUUAAGGGAGGGGUUCCUUGGACAUGUUAAUGAGUUUAUUUAGAAAUCUUUUGGGCAGGAGGAUGGGAACUUGGUUCCUGACCUUGCUCGAUUAGGAUAUCUUGUUUCAGUUGUUCCCAAUCUUCAUAAUUUGUCGACCAGAGAACAUGGAUGCUUGAGAUUUAACUAGAUGAAUAAAAGGAUCUUUAAAUUUAAAGGGGGAACACAAGAAUCUCGUCUUGCGAGUUUACUUAGUAUCUCAAAUUUUGUUGGCUUUACUUGAUCUAGUUUUGUAAGUAUUUCAUUGGUGCAUACUAAUUUAUGUUGUCAAUAUAAUAACCUUGGAAAAUAUGCAUUUGGGCACGAUGAACUGAGCUGUUAAAUUGGCUACUUAGAUAACAGAAUUUCUUGACAAAAAUUUGUCCCGGAAAUUUUUUCCUCCUGUUUUGGGGCAUUGCAAAGAAAUGUGAUAGAAAAUAUUGAACUUCGAGUCAAAUUAUCUUGACAAAUUUGAUUUAAUGUUUUUUCUUACCUAAUUCAUCAAAUCAGAAAAAAAAAAAAAACAAGUUAUCUUGUUUCAGUCAGAAAGUGCUCAAAUGACUUUUGUAACUUAGUUUUGUUGGGGUAGGAAAUUACCUCACUGAUGUCUUUGCCAGAGGGUGAAAAAAUUAAAGUACGCUAUAUCAUGAUUCAGGGACAUGCAUUACUAUGGCAAAUAAAACUAAAAUAAUAAAUUCUGCCCCUUGUGCUGAUCAGCACUUACUCUAGAUUUGUAAUAGCCAUGAAAAUAUUCAUAUGACCCACAGCUUAGUUUCAAUAAAUCCUUGCCUCAGGUUCUGUACAUGUGGAAUUUAAGUCAAAUGUAGAUUUUUGGUUCAUUGUUCGAGUGGAUCGCAGCCCCCACCUAGUCGUCGCUGUUUUUGAUUCUAUAUUCUGCUAAAUUAAAAAUUAUCUUGUUGGAAAUAUUUCAAUUAUAUUUACUUGCCUCGUUUGUAGUCCUUGAAAAUUUGGUAUCUGUUUGCAGGUGCCAUUUCUGUUUGGUGUAACUGCCUUUGAAAAAGCUGCGAAUUUUGUCAUUCACUUGAUAUUUAGAAGAACAGGUCGACACCUUUUUCUUAAUGAUAAUGAUGAGGGAAGGCCUCCAUUGCUCAGACGCAUGUUGGAAGAUGAAGAUGAAAAUUACUUCAUGUAUGCAUGCUCGUUUUACCUCUUUGUUAUAUUGUUUUGUAGUUGCGAACUACAAAGUUUUGGGAUGCCUUCGUUUGUGGGUUUUCAUUUAUAUGAUUGAUUAUGUAGGUCUGCACUGCGUGCGUUCAAACGUCGGGUGGCAUAUUCAAAUGCGUGCUACGACCGUAUCCUGUUUUUCUGAUUUAUGCAGUUUUUAUCUAAUUUGUUUAUUUGCUUGGUCAUGAUGUAGCUUUGCAGUUUCAUACUUUUCAUGUUUUUGUUAAAUUCAUUUUCUAUUGUUUUCCAUAAUCGACUACAAUAUAGAUAUUGUUGGGUGGAGAACAUCGUCAAUAAGACGUAAUAGUGAAUUACCGAAGGUAUCGUUAUCUAUUUGAAUUUGCAUGUUUAGUUCCAGUUUCCAACCCUUUGGUUGGAUUAUAACGAGAAAGACGUCUUUUUUGUUAAACAGUGGGAAGAUUCACUUGAUGAAAAAUAUCCACAUAUUGUGUACCAUGAACAUUGCAAGGCCUGUGAUGCAGAGCAGCUUGACCCUAGUUCAAUGGAAGAUGAUGGCAGUGAUAAGAUAGAAGGUCUGCCAUUUUAAAAUUUUAAUUUGUUUAUGCUGUCUGCCUUUGUUAUGUGACUUAAGUCAGGUUAGCCUGCUUGCUUAAUGAAAAUAUAUAUCCCUUCAUAGUUCAUUGGUUGUGGCUCUGAAGUUUUUUUCAUUUAGUUGACCUCUACUUUGUUCUUUUUUUUUUUUGCCAGUUGCUGAUAACAUUAAAAAUGUUAGUCUGUGCUUAUGACUUGGCUACAAUUAUUGCCCAAAAAAGCGCAAUAUCCAGUGAUGUUUUGUUGACUAUUUCUUGUUGGCCUAUAUUGUGCAGAGGAACUGGUGAAAGGCCUAUCUCGUGUUUCAUGGGAAAAGAUAGAUGUUAGCUUUCAUAACUGCAGACAAAGAUUUGCUGCUCAUAGUGUUAUACAGGUAACUCUUUCCCUCUUGCACGUGCAAUGGGACAUGCUCAUGCAUAUGCGUGCUUGUAAACUCGCUCACUGUACAUGAGUGCCUGUUGGCUAUUACCAAGACACAUUUGACAAUGCAUGAAAAUUCUUCUGCUGUUGUGUGAUGGUUUUGGACUUUAUGUGUUUCCAGUUUGAUGUUAUGGUUCCAUGGACAAUGUUGUGUCUUAAAUGCUAAUAUUGAAGUGUUCAGGUCAAUCUUUAACAUUUACGAUUAGGUAUCUCUUGCAAGGGAUGGAAAUAAGGGGGGAAGGGAGGGAUGGGAAUGACAUUUCAAUUUUCUGCCCUAGAAUGAUGAUUUUAUAAUAGAAACCAUAUUUCCUGACAUUUACUCGAUUGUAUUUCAAAUGUUCGUCUCUGAGAGUUCAUGAUUUUGCAAAAUGAUAGAUUUAUAUUGUAGGCACUUGGCAGUUGGUCAGUUAGGCGAAAGAUGGAAAAUAUGAAAUCUGAAAUUACUUGUCCUUCUGAGAGGCAAAUUUCUACCCAUUGCAGGUCAAAGACGAAGUUGUGCAUAUGGAAGGUGCAGAUGUCAUACAUCAUAUGAUUGAUCAUUUUCUUACUUAGGAGUCAUUGGCUGUCAGAAGUAACACGUGAAAUCCAGGGGUGUAAGCUCCGUUUAAGUAAGCUAUACGAAGAAUAUUGCUACUAUUAUAUAAUUCCUUCCUAACGACCAUCAUGUUGUUUCUGAGAUUUCAUGGAUUGCAGGGUGGAUGCCAUCAAAUCUCAGAGUUUGGUUAAGAAAAAGAAAAUUGUGUCUAAAUCCACAAUACGAAAAUUUUGUUUAUUCGUUAUUUGAUUGUUUGUACAUGGGUACUCUAUUGUCAAUAAAUUCAGACAAUGUAUUUAUAUCAGUUCGCACUUUCUGAACUCGAUAGCUAUUAAUAUAUGUGGACUGAUGGACUGAUGGACACAUGCACGCACAAAUACAAGUAUGUUGUUUCAAAAACAAGGCAACUAUCUUUCAAGGUGGGUUUUUUUUUUUUCAUUUUCACUUUUAUAUCUUUAUUACUUUAUAACAAUUUCUAUGAAGCAGGUCUAGUUUUUAUUGUUAAUAGUUUGUUCAUGUAAGAUUUACUUGUUUUAUAGGAGUAACCUGGCUACUUUGAACUUUUUUUUUUUCAUUUAUUUAAUUAUUAUUUUCAAAAUUUCUUUACCUUUUUAUUUCUAUGAUGUGUGAUCAACAUCCCAUAUUUGAUUCUCUAUUCAAGGUUUUGAUAAUUUUAUGAAAGAACGAGUUUGAUUCUCUAAACACAAUGUACUUUCUUAAAUGAGAUUCUUAAAAGACAAAAAAGAUUAUUUUUGCGACACUUCCAGUCAGGAUUUUUUAAUUCUUUGAUUUGCUAUAUGAAGAUUGCUCAAAUUUGUCUCUUUAAUUUCAGUAAUACAAAGGAUUUUCUUUUAGCUGCACGAGGCAUUAGAAGAACAGUGCAAAUGUUAAAUAUGCUGAUGUUACAGGUGCAUAAUUGAACAAAAUGAUGUAUUCCCUCAUGGUUUAAUUAGGAAUUUGAUUAUCUGUACUGCACGUGAUUAAAAGAACUGAAAAGAAAUGACUUGGUAAAGGUUUAAAUAUAAGCAACUUUUCAUUUAUAAUUCUCUCUAAUUCAUAGCCUUAUAAUCAUGGCUUCUCCUUAAGGUCUGUCUACUAAGUUGAGUCGUGACCCAACAUCCUACUGAAAAAACGUUUUUGAUGCUUAAGUAGUUGCUUGAAAUUACACCAAAGUUAGGUAGUUAAUUGAUAAUUAUUCAAUAAAUUAGCGACAGAGACUUGCAAUUUGCAUUACUAAUUUGGACACUAAUAUUAUGAUUUUGAUACAACCAACUACAAACUCUUUCUUUUUUUUUUUUAAUACUUUUCAAUAUAACCAACUACAAAGAUGAAAUUAACUUGUUUCAAGCAUUAAUUAUUAUCCCAUAUUUCCACUAGGAAAAAAAUGAUCGAUAAACUGUUGCCUUUUCUGUUUAGUAAUUAUUUUUGUUAUUCAAUUUCAAUAUUCCCAAACCGUACAAGUUUCUUCCAAAGCAUUCACGUUCAAAUUCACAAACCAAAGUUGAGGAGAUGGAGGAACCCAAAUUAAUUACGAAUUUCUUGCAAAAUUUGCUUCAAAUGAUAAAAUUUUAAAAAGAGAUUAAGUGUAUAUUAGGGAACGUAUUACAUUUUCAAAUAAUCACUAAUUUAAUAAUCUAACGGAUUUAUUUUUAGAUAAAUUUUCAAAAUAUUCAGAUAACAGAUUCUCAAAAGUAUAUUAUUGGUAAGGGCGAGGCUAAGGCUAUUUGAAUCUACAAAAAUACUCUUUACCCCCUAUUUCUCAUCAUCCAUUACCAAAAUUUAAAAAUCUUGAUUUUCCUUUCAACGCCACCGUCUUAAAAGUACUCCUAAUUAUUAUGUUCUCAUUCUUUUCUGCAUUUAUGUGAACUAAAUCAGAGAUUUAUCAUUUGUCCCAAAAAGGCAAAAAAAAAAAAAAACAGAGAUGAUCAAAUCUUUUUUGCUAUCAUUUUAUAUCCAAUUACACGCUGAGCGUUCCUUUCAGGAUUAAUGUUUUGGGAAUUAAUAAAAAUUACUGCUUUUGCAUUUUUCUUAGUUGAUAAAUCUCUUCAAUUAAUUUGCUUCCAUCACAAAGCAAACUUGGAAGUUUUGCAAAAUUAACGGUAAUAUGUCGGCUAUUUGCAAUUGAACAAUUUUACACAUCUCAAAUGAUUUCACAAAAAAUUAUUUCAAAUACAUCUCAUCAGUUGGUUGGUGAUAUAACACAAUCAGUUCACUUGCAUCUUAUAGUGAAUUAUUAACUACGCAAUGAAUGACAUAUUAUUUGAGAUAAUAUUUAGAAUAAAAAAACAUUUGAUAUGUCUUUUAUUACUCGUAAUUACAGUCAACUGCUAAAAACUUUUUGAUUUGAUAAUGUGUUGGAAGCUCGAUUAGGGUUUUAAAAUCAAAGAUCUUGAUUUAAUGUUUUGAUUAUGGAUUCACACAGUGAUAAUCCAUUUCCCUAUUAUACGAAAUUGAUCUCCAUGUUUUUAUUGUUUUAUUUUUUAAUUUUUAUAUUCUUUGGCAACUAUCUAGAUAUUUCCCUGUUCUUAUAAUAAAUAGACAAUUUGUGCUUAUGAGUUCUCUAAAAUCGUCGCCCAAAAAUUGCAAUGUGCAGUGAUUUAUUGGUUUUUUAAAUGGUCAAGUAUUUUUCUGAAGGCCUAUAUUGUACAGAGGAACUGGUGAAAGGCCGAUCUCGUGUUUCAUGGGAAAAGAUAGAUGUUAGCUUUCACUGCUGCGGACAAUGGAUUGCUGCUCAUAGUGUUAUACAGGUAAUUCUCUCCCUGUCUCACGUGCAUUGGGAGAUGCACGUGCACAUACGUGCUUGUAAAUUCACUCACUGCACAUGUGCGCCUGCGGGCUCUUACCAAAACACACUCGAUAAAUGUAUGCAAGAAUGAAUAAAAUUCAAAUGCAUGAAACUUUUUCUGCUGUUCUUUGAUGGUAGUGUUUUGGGGAUAAAACUUGGAACCAUGAUCAGAUGUUUCAUCGACUUAAUUGUGCUCUGCUCGCUAUAAGACCAAAAAUAAAAAGAAAUUGCGGGUUGAUAUUUUUGGAGGAGGUUUUCUAAUAAGUCUUAGCAGAUAAUGAUAGACAACCAAGGAGGUCAGCUAGAGUUUCAAAGCCUAGCAGCAAGCUGGUGGACUUUGUUUGACCAUGCAAACCAUGCCCAUGCAAGCCAUGCAAUUGAUCUCCCACGUAAAUCUUUCAUGCAAGUUAGUUUGAAUAAGAGCACGUGAGGACUGUGGGCAAUUGAUAUUGGAGUAAAAGACUACGUCAAAGUUGUUGCCGAGAAUCAAGUUAAUUUAUUUUCUAUUUUAUCUAGUUGUUAAUAAGGAUUUGAUUUGGCUGGAUUUGAGCCAAGAUUUUAGGCUACAAAUCACUAGUAUCCUUUAUGUUUAUCUGUAUAAAUAAGCAGCAACCAUAAGGAAUAAAGGAAGGAAAUUAGUCACACAAAUACUGGUUGUUCAUACCAUAAAUUGAACGAAUAUCAGGCAUUGCUUUUCUGUAUUUGAUCGGGACCUAUUAUUGGUAUCAGAGCAGGAGUUUUGCAAUGUCUACUAAUAAAGAGAGAAUUGAACGUGUCGAAACCGAACUUGGCGGAAUGCAAAAUGAGAUACAACGAUUAGGUCAAGGAAUGAAUGACAAAUUUCACCACCUGGAGGCCAUGAUCAACAAGCUAGUUGAGACAUUUGGCCAAUCCCAAAGAGCCCCACACCAGCACGAUCAAACAGGCACUUCACGAACGGGUCAAGGAGAGACUGCAGGGGAACGAAAGCCGAUUCCUCCACGAGUUGCCAAACUCGAUUUUCCCAAAUAUUCAGGAGAUGACCCUACGGAGUGGGUCAACCGUGUCACGCAAUUUUUUGAUUAUCAAGGAACUAGUGAGGACUAGUGAGUUGUGCUAGCAUCUUACCACCUUGAAGGAGAAGCCAACCAGUGGUGGCAAUGGUUGCGCCGCACCUACCAAGAAUAUGGACAAGCAGUAACAUGGAACACAUUUGUCGAUGAGUUGUGGGCACGUUUUGGACCGACGUAAUGUGAAGAUUUUGACAAGGCCUUAUCUCUCGUGUAACAAAUUUGAACAUUGCGAGAUUAUCAAAAGGAGUUUGAGAGGUUGGGCAACAAAGUUCACAGAUGGACUCAGCGGGCGUUAGUAGGCACCUUCAUGGGAGGACUCAAACCCGAGAUUUCGGAGGAGAUCCGCUUGUUUCGACCAAAAACUCUUAAGGAGGCUAUCAACCUAGCACGGAUGAAAGAUGAACAGAUCGUGCGGCAGCGAAAAUUAAUCCGACCAACAUUUUCCAAUCGGGCAGCGACAACAUCACCAAUUGUCAAUAAGAACUCACCGGCAACACCAUUCAAGAGGCUUACCUGGGAGGAAAUGCAACAUCGACGGGCACAGGGUUUGUGCUUCAACUGCAAUGACAAAUUCACGGCAGGUCAUCGAUGCACUAAGGCUCAACUUCUAAUUUUAGAAGCCGAGGAAGAAUUUGAGGAAACUCUCGAAGCGGUGCCAACUGAGGAAGCAUCCUUCGAUCCCAAGAUCACCUUCUAUGCCUUAACCGGUUGGACGGCACCACAAACGAUGCGCGUUAAGGCGAAAAUCGGGCCAUAUGAAAUUAUCGUGUUGAUUGACAGUGGAUCAACACAUAAUUUUAUUAGCACCCGCCUAGCAAACUUACUGAAACUCCUAUUAUACCAACAACUGCGUUUUCUGUCAAAGUUGCAAAUGGUGAAAAAUUGGCGUGUCAAGUGAAGUUUGAGAAGAUACAAAUUCUAAUCCAAGAUAUUUCGUUUUCUCUAACGGUCUACGCGCUGCCCAUAUCAGGAUUAGAUUUGGUAUUGGGAGUACAGUGGCUCGAAGAAUUGGGAACAGUAGAAUGUAAUUGGAAAUCUCUCACUAUGAAUUUCAAUUGGAACAAUAGGCCACGACAUCUACAAGGGCUCAAUCCUCAGUCUGUACAAACGACAACAGUAGCAGAGGUUAAUAAGGAGAUUAAACAGGGAUACGAGGCAUUUGCAAUUUGCUUCUAAUUACAAUUGGAAGAGGUCACGGCACCAGCGGCAAUGCAGGGGCUUUUAUGAAAUUAUAAGGAGUUAUUUCAGGAACUAACUCAACUUCCUCCUAAGCGCGAAAUUGACCAUUGUAUCACACUUAAAGAGGGAACAAAGCCUAUCAACGUCAGACCCUAUCGCUGCGCACACUUCCAAAAAGAAGAAAUAGAAAAGCAGGUGCAGAAGAUGCUUAAUUCGGGAUUAAUAAGGCCCAGUACCAGUCAUUUCUAGUCGUCGGUAUUACUUGUCAAAAAAAAAAGAUGGAAGCUGGAGGUUUUGCACAGAUUACCGCACCCUCAACGACGCCACUAUCAAAGACUGAUUUCCAAUCCCAACCGUCGACGAUAUGGUCGACGAGCUCUACGGAGCCGCCUAUUUUACGAAGCUGGACCUCCGUGCCGGUUACCACCAAGUUUGAGUCAAUCCACUAGAUAUUCACAAGAAAGCGUUCCGCACCUACAAUGGCCACUACUAAUAUCUAGUCAUGCCAUUCGGAUUAUGCAAUGCGCCGUCAACCUUUCAGACGAUCAUGAGCUCCAUUUUUCGGCCAUUUCUCAGGAAGUUUACUUUGGUUUUUUUUAUGACAUUCUGAUUUACAGUCCUACAUGGGAUAGUCAUCUUGAUCAUGUCAAACAGGCAAUGGAGAUUCUCAAGCAAUAUAAGUUUUUUUAUCAAAUCCAGCAAAUGCACAUUCGGACAGCAGGAACUCGAGUGCUUGGGGCAUAUUGUCACGUGUCACCGCAUCAAAGUAGACAACAAAAAAAUUACUGCCAUGCUCUCUUGGCCCGCGCCACAAACCAUAAUAGAGCUACGAGGAUUUCUCGGAUUAACAGGAUAUUACCAAAAGUUUGUGCAAGGAUAUAGAGUCAUUGCUCGGCCCUUAACCAACUUACUAAAAAAAAAAUCAAUUUGGCUAGAGUGAGGAAGCAGAAGAAGCCUUUCGGAGACUCAAAUAAGCAAUGUCCAGCACCCUUACAUUGGCUAUGCCAAACUUCCAAGACACUUUUAUUAUCGAUGGCUAUGCCAAACUUCCAAGACACUUAUGGAGACCGUAUAUUUUAGGGCAGAAAUUUAUAAUCCGAACUGACCAGCAGAGUCUCAAGUACCUAUUGGAACAAAACGCGGUGACCUUUGAGCAAUAAAAGUGGUUGGCAAAGCUCAUGGGCUAUGAAUAUGAAAUCCUAUAUCGGCCGGGGCGGGACAACAUUGCCGCCGACACCCUUUCGCGGUGACCCAAUAGCCCAAUGAUGAAUUAUUUAUAUGUGCCGCAGGUAACUCUUUGGGAAGAAAUUAAGACAACUGCAACAGGUGACGAUUGCGUUCAACGAGUUACCACACUUGCUGAAACUCAACCAGCGGGACCGUACACACCAAAGAAUGGAUUAGUUUUCUAUAAUGGGCGGGUUGUGGUCCCUCACCAGAUACGUGACAAAUUGAUGUUUGAAGCCCACAGCACUAGAAUCGGAGGCCAUUCUGGAGUCUUGCGCACUUAUAAGAGGUUGGCACAGUAGUUCUAUUGGCCGGCUGUGUUUCGUACGGUACAACAAUACGUUAAUAAUUGUGAGACUUGCCAACGCACAAAAUCCGCCACUUUCAGACCAGCCGGGCUACUUCAGCCACUGCCCAUACCCUGCUAAGUUUGGGAUGACAUUACAUUGGAUUUUAUUGAAGGGCUACCGAUGUCAUAGGGCAAGAAAACCAUCUUCGUUGUCGUCGAUAGACUCAGCAAAUCAGCACACUUCAUGUCUUCGUCUUAUCCCUUCUCAGUAAAGACAGUGGCCGAACGGUUCAUAGAAGGCAUAUUCAGGUUGCAUGGCAUGCCAAAAUCCAUUGUGAGUGAUCGGGAUCCAAUUUUCAUCAGCAACUUCUGGCAGGAGUUUUUUAAAAUGUCGGGUACAAAACUCAACAUGAGUUUGACUUAUCACCCCCAAUUCGACGGUCAGAUCGAGGUAAUUAACCAAUGUCUCGAACAGUACCUACGAAGUUUUGUUCAUUAGUGGCUGCGUAAGUGGCAUGAAUAUCUACCUUGGGCUGAAUACUGGUAUAACACGACGUAUUACAUAUCCACGGGCAUGACACCUUUUAAGGCACUGUAUGGCCGGGACCCUCCCAUGGUUCCGUAAUAUCGUGUGGGCACCUCACCGGUCAACGAGGUUGAUAAAGCCCUGUUGACCAGAGAUGAGUUACUCGCCCAGCUCAAACGUAAUUUGGCUAUUGCCACCAAUCGCAUGAAACAAAUAGCAGAUAAGCAUCGUAGAAAUGUGCAGUUUCACAAAGAUGAUUGGGUGUUUUUAAAACUUCAACCGUAUCGACAAAACUCUGUGUUUAAGUGGGCGCAUAAAAAGUUAGUAAACAAGUUUUUUGAGCCCUAUUGUGUUUUAGAGAAAAUCGGGACCAUCGCCUACAAACUACAGUUGCCUGUCGGUGCCCGUGUUCAUCCAGUGUUCCAUGUGUCCUUGCUCAAGAAAGCCAUGGGAGACUUGUCCAAGAAUAGCAGCGACAUCCCUCCAAUUGAUGAUGAGGGUGUGCUAAUGCUUGAACCUGCUGAAAUUUUAGACACACGAUGGUUGAAGCGUGGCGGGAAAUUCAUUGAACAGAGUUUAGUACGUUGGAAAAAAUUACCGGCGGAGGAGGCUACAUGGGAAGAUUCAACCGUAAUCCAGUAACAGUUUCCAUCUAUGAUCCUUGAGGACAAGGGUCCUCUUCCUGGCGGGGCCAUUGAUAGACAACCAAGGAGAUCAACUAAAGUUUCAAAGCCUAGCAGUAAGCUGAUGGACUUUGUUUGACCAUGCAAACCAUGCCCAUGCAAGCCAUGCAAUUGAUCUCCCACGGAAAUCUUUCAUGCAAGUUAGUUUGAAUAAGAGCACGUGAGGACUGUGGGCAAUUGAUAUUGAAGUAAAAGACUACGUCAAAGUUGUUGCCGAGAAUCAAGUUAAUUUAUUUUCUGUUUUAUCUAGUUGUUAAUAAGGAUUUGAUUUGGCUAGAUUUGAGCCAAGAUUUUAGGCUACAAAUCACUAGUAUCCUUUAUGUUUAUCUGUAUAAAUAAGCAGCAACCAUGAGGAAUAAAUGAAGGAAAUUAGUCAAAACAAAUACUGGUUGUUCAUACCAUAAAUUGAACGAAUAUCAGGCAUUGCUUUUCUGUAUUUGAUCGUGACCUAUCAAAUAAACUAUCAGGAAAAAAAACUGUAAACAGAUAUCGUGCAAAAAGACUCAUUUAAACUGAAUCAGUGCUUGAGCACGACUCUGUUAAAGCCAUCUAACUGAUUUCGGCCAAAAAUUCAAGAACAAGCUUUAUCUUCCAGCAGUCACUCCAGAUUCCAAAGGAUAUAGGAUUGUAACCUCUAUAAAAACCUUAGAAAAUUCAAACAAAGUUAAGUUAACCUGGCCGAAAAUGACAAACUAAGGAGGGGCUUCUUGGAUAUGUUAAUGAAUUUAUAUAUGUAGAAACCUUUUGGGCAUAAGGAUGGGCACUUGGUUGCUGUCCUUGCUUGACGAGGAUAUUUUUUUCCCAGUUGUCCCCGAUCUUCAUAAUUUUUUACCAGAGAAAAUGGAUGCUUGAGAUUUAACUAGAUAAAGAAUAGGAUCUUUAAAUUUAAAGGGGGUGUCAGAUAAUGAAUCAAGUUAAACUUUCCAGAAACGAUUGCGUUUUGGGAUUAUAUAAGCUUUGUUAGCUAACAUACUGCUCAGCUGCCUCGUAACAGAAAAUAAAUUAGUCAAAACGACAAGGCUGUAGUGCGUUUUAAAUAAUAGCUUAAGUAACCACGUGGGGAAGCAUGUGAUGAAGGCUGAUUCGAGUUUGUUAAAGUUUGUUAACCACGUGUAAGCAAACUGUACAAUCUGGAAAUCUUGCUAGCUAUCAAAACAAGGUAUAAAGGCUGUUUCACGGAGCGAGUUCAGUGAUGAUUCUAGAGUCUUGCAGAGAGAGUCUGGUGAGAGAGAAAAUGAUGUCUUGUUCUCUGUAAAGUCUGGUGUAAAGCUCUAUGUUGGACGAGUGGGCGCCUAAGAUGGGCCGACCCAACCCGACUCGACCCACACAUGGUAACCACUUGUUGGUUACCAUGCACGUUUGGGAGAGGGAAGUUGAACACAAAUCAACUUCCCAACCGCUCUCAACUGCUGUACAUAUGCUUAUAAAAACCGCUGAUAUAAAACACACAAAAUUUAUUUUUUUUCAUUGGAAUAAAUAAGAAAGAGCAGUGCGUGUGUGUGAGUGAACGAAAAAAAAAAGAUUAAAAACAAGAUCAUUGAACAAUCCGGAAAAAGUAAAUACACUGUGAUUUGAGGAAGAUUUCUGUUCGUGAUUUCUUUUCGACUUGUGAUGUGAUCCAACGCUUGUUUAUUUCACUGCAUAAUUCGAAAAAGUAAGGUCCAUUGACUCCUUUUAGAAUUUUCUUUCAUUGGUAUCAGAGUCUGAAUUGUGUUGGAUUUGUGCAUUGGUUGGAUUUGAUUCAUGAAAAGCAUGAUUUUUUAUUUUAUUAAUUUUUGUGAUGGCUGUUGUUUUAAAUGUUAUGGAAUGUUUAAUAUGAAUGCAUAAAUUCUGGAAUUGAAGUUAUUAAAACCGGCCUAGGGUUUCGAUUGCAUGAACCCUAAAUAUUUUAUGAAACCUGAAACUUCAGAGGAUCAUAUCUUUUGGUCUAGGACACCUAACAAUAUAUGUGAUAUAUCACUAGAAAGAUUUUUUCGAAAGCUUUCCAAUGAUAUGUGAUUUGUUAAAAACGGACUUAAGACGAGAAAGUUAUGGCCAAAAUACGAUUUUGGUUAGAUUAGGAUUUGGAAAGGGUUAAAAACCCUAAUUUGGAAAAGAUGAUGAACAGUGCCGAAGUUAAUUUUUUUUAUGAUUCCGGCCUAUUCUGACCUUCGUUUGAAAAUCUAAAUGUACCAUUGUAUUCAUAAUGAAAAAUGGAGUUGGAUGGUGCCGGACCCAAUGCUACUAGAGCGGCGCAAGGCCGCGCGUGGGACCCACGUGGGUUUUGUGUAUGUUUGAACGCGAUACUGUAGCAUAUUGUAGCGUCCCGUAGUGCACUGUAGCAAAACUGUAGUGGUACUAUAGAGUACUGUAGCACGUGGGGAUAUAUCCAUAUUCAUAAAUUUUUACAUAUUUUGCUAUUCGGGACUCCGAUUUGGGCGCUGUUUGAUCUGAAAUUUAAUUUUCUAUUUUGUUUUAAUAUGAAAUAAUUAUUUUUUAAUCAUUUCUUUUUUUUGAAAUAAAAUUUUGGAUCGAACUUAUAUAGUCUCACGGAUGAGCAUUAUAUGUUAAUUAAUGUUUAGCUCUAGUGGGAGCUUGAAAUAUUUAUUUUUUGAUGGAAUUGGCUAAAAUCUAAUCUCGUAUUUAGUUGUUUGUUAACAAUCCCUAAUUUGAUUUUUUUUUAAAUUUUUCGUAGAUGCCUCCCGUUAGUAAGUUGUGGACUGAGGAAGAAGGUUUAAUGACAAUUAGAGCUUGGGUUUCACCUAAUGAUCUAAUUGAGAUUAAUAAUAGUCUAUCUUAUGAAGAACUUAUGGAGAAAAAAAAGAAUUAUCAGAUGGACCCUGAUCGUCCUAUAUGCAUUAACAUAUAAGAUUUAUAUGAUGCUUUUAACCGUUUAAUUUCCGCAAAUAUACCUACUGUGCAUACAAACUGGGGUUAUUAUGAAUGGCUCCUCAUUCAAUUAUUACCUGAUGAUGACAAUACGCUUGUCUUUAUGGUUCGCAUGUUAAAUCAGAUUGAGGAACCCUCACAUAGAUAUUAUAUGCUGAGGUGUGAAAUUGAGUUGAUGGAGGAGCGUCGUCUUGUUUCAAAGAUGAGGCGAACCUUAGUGCUUAGCAUUCACACGAACCUUCGAAGUGGGAGACAAGCUAGUCGCCUUGGUAGAGGGCAAAAGUUAUGGUAUAAGAAAACCAUAAAGAGAAUUAUCAAAAGGGAGCAAUUAUUUUUAUUUGGAGAUAGACUUACGUAUAAGUUAGAUGAAAGAGUCACGAGCAACAAAGAACAUUUUAAGAACAUGUAGAAGAUUCUAUGUAUUAGUUUGACCAUGUUAGGUUAUUUCAUUUGUUUGUUUAUGUAUUUUUUAAAUUGGUUUUAUUUUAUUGGUUGAACUAUAUGUUGCUAUGAUUUCAUUAAUGAUAUUCUACACUAAUUGUUGCUCAACUUUACAUACUCUUUUAUCAUAUCUCAUGAAUUUUUCCAUUGAGUGGGAGUUCUAACUAAAUUGAAUUUGAUAAAUUCAUAAUUAGAACUGAUAAUUUUGUGCAUUAAAAUUGAAUGAAUGAUGAAUAUAAUAAAGGGGAUUGGAUGAUGAUUGGAAGCCUCGACGACCUUUUGAUUUCAUUCUCGAUAUUAGUUCAUCAUGUCUUUUGAUUUGCAUUUAUGGAAAAAUUAAUUGUUUGCGUGUAAUUAUUAAUUAUGCCUUUAGUGAUUGUAUUUUAAAUUGUUUAUGUGUUGAAUUAUAGUUGAGAUGACCUCUGCAUCUAAAAAGCAUUGUGGCUGAGCCAAACAAGGAUGAGAAACUGAAUGGUGACAAUUACGAUAUUUGGCACCGCAAAAUUCAGUACAUCCUUGAGGAGUAAGAGACUCUAAAAGCUCUCAACAACACCUUAGCUUAGCCUGAGUAAGGCAAUACUGCUCAACACAAAAGGUGUCUUGAGGCCUACCAGGCCUGGAAAAAGAAUAAUAGUAAUGCUCGCAUAACGUUGUUGAGCAGUAUGCAAGAUGACGUCAUGUGGCUAAAAUCUAAUCUCGUAUUUAGUUGUUUGUUAACAAUCCCUAAUUUGAUUUUUUUUUAAAUUUUUCGUAGAUGCCUCCCGUUAGUAAGUUGUGGACUGAGGAAGAAGGUUUAAUGACAAUUAGAGCUUGGGUUUCACCUAAUGAUCUAAUUGAGAUUAAUAAUAGUCUAUCUUAUGAAGAACUUAUGGAGAAAAAAAAGAAUUAUCAGAUGGACCCUGAUCGUCCUAUAUGCAUUAACAUAUAAGAUUUAUAUGAUGCUUUUAACCGUUUAAUUUCCGCAAAUAUACCUACUGUGCAUACAAACUGGGGUUAUUAUGAAUGGCUCCUCAUUCAAUUAUUACCUGAUGAUGACAAUACGCUUGUCUUUAUGGUUCGCAUGUUAAAUCAGAUUGAGGAACCCUCACAUAGAUAUUAUAUGCUGAGGUGUGAAAUUGAGUUGAUGGAGGAGCGUCGUCUUGUUUCAAAGAUGAGGCGAACCUUAGUGCUUAGCAUUCACACGAACCUUCGAAGUGGGAGACAAGCUAGUCGCCUUGGUAGAGGGCAAAAGUUAUGGUAUAAGAAAACCAUAAAGAGAAUUAUCAAAAGGGAGCAAUUAUUUUUAUUUGGAGAUAGACUUACGUAUAAGUUAGAUGAAAGAGUCACGAGCAACAAAGAACAUUUUAAGAACAUGUAGAAGAUUCUAUGUAUUAGUUUGACCAUGUUAGGUUAUUUCAUUUGUUUGUUUAUGUAUUUUUUAAAUUGGUUUUAUUUUAUUGGUUGAACUAUAUGUUGCUAUGAUUUCAUUAAUGAUAUUCUACACUAAUUGUUGCUCAACUUUACAUACUCUUUUAUCAUAUCUCAUGAAUUUUUCCAUUGAGUGGGAGUUCUAACUAAAUUGAAUUUGAUAAAUUCAUAAUUAGAACUGAUAAUUUUGUGCAUUAAAAUUGAAUGAAUGAUGAAUAUAAUAAAGGGGAUUGGAUGAUGAUUGGAAGCCUCGACGACCUUUUGAUUUCAUUCUCGAUAUUAGUUCAUCAUGUCUUUUGAUUUGCAUUUAUGGAAAAAUUAAUUGUUUGCGUGUAAUUAUUAAUUAUGCCUUUAGUGAUUGUAUUUUAAAUUGUUUAUGUGUUGAAUUAUAGUUGAGAUGACCUCUGCAUCUAAAAAGCAUUGUGGCUGAGCCAAACAAGGAUGAGAAACUGAAUGGUGACAAUUACGAUAUUUGGCACCGCAAAAUUCAGUACAUCCUUGAGGAGUAAGAGACUCUAAAAGCUCUCAACAACACCUUAGCUUAGCCUGAGUAAGGCAAUACUGCUCAACACAAAAGGUGUCUUGAGGCCUACCAGGCCUGGAAAAAGAAUAAUAGUAAUGCUCGCAUAACGUUGUUGAGCAGUAUGCAAGAUGACGUCAUGUGCGAGUAUGAGAAGUAUGAGACUGCUCAAGAGAUGUGGCUCGCUCUGAAAGAUAAGUUUGGUGGUACCUCGACCACUAAACUCAGGAGGCUUACGAUCAAAUUUGACUCUUAUCGGAAGCGCUCGAACCACACUAUGAGGGAUCAUCUGAGGGAGAUGUCGAACAUGGUUCGUGAGCUUAGGUCUGCUGGACAUAUUAUGACUAAUGAACAACACGUUUAGGCAGUAAUAAGAUCUCUACCCGAUACCUGGGAGCACAUGAAGGUGAAUAUGACUCAUAAUGAAAAUAUCAAAACUUUUAAAGACAUUGAGCAUCACCAAGAGCUGGAAGUAGAGUGCUUUGAGGCAGCUAAGCUUUCUGGUAGUGUUUUUAUGGCUGAGUCAAGCUCGCGCAAAGUUUCGGGCUUCAAGCGCAAAAUGGACCAUAAAAAUAACCAUAAGGGUAAGGGAUUUGAUCCUGAUCAGAAGAAGCCAAAUGCUAAAAAGCGCCCAAAGGGUAAGCGUGCUGGUAAGAAAAGGGACAAAUCCAAGGUGAGAUGCUACAACUGUAGCAAGCUAGGUCACUUUGCUUGUGAAUGCACUUAGUCGAAAAAUGUGAGACCCAACUACACUUUGUUACAUUAUGCUUUAGUUACGAGUUCUGUACUUUUAAUCGAAUCUCGUCCUGUGUGGACUGUAGACUAAGGAGCAACAAACCAUAUAGCUCGUAAUUGAGAUGCAUAUGUGGAGUAUCGUUGAAUCAGUCAAGGGAGUAGAUGAAUAUACGUGGGUAGCAACUCUAGGGUUGGGCAAAAAGAAUAGGCACCUGAAAAUUGACUUUACGUGGUGGACGUAAUCUUUUGUUACACGAAGGCCUGUAUGCACCAAAGAUUCGACGAAACUUGAUUUCUGUCUCUAUUAUUCUUGAAUUAGGAUAUUACUUAACUUUUCAUGGUGUUUGUUCAGAGAUCUUUUUAAAUUCAGUCUUUAUUGGAACUGAACAUUUAAUUAAUGGUUUUAUUGUAUUAGAUACAAUACUUGAUGAAUCAAGUUAUGAUAAUAGUUGUUUUUCUUAUGUUACUUCUUCUAGUAAUAAUGAAAUAGAUGUCAUCACUUGGCAUGCUAGACUAGGUCAUAUAGGGCAAGAAAGAAUGUAUAGACUUGCGAGAAAGGGCAUGUUGGGCCCACUCACCAAAAUUGAAUUGCCCAUAUGUGAAAAUUGUCUAGCUUGGAAAACAACUAGAAAACCAUUUAGCAAAGGAAUUAGAGCCGAAAAACCAUUGCAGUUAAUCCACUUUGACAUCUGUGGUCUAAUGAAUGUAAGAGCUAAACAUGGAGCCUCAUAUUUUAUUACAUUCAUUGAUGAUUAUUCACGUUUCGGUUACGUUUACUUGAUUUCUCAUAAAUCAAAAGCAUUGGAUUGCUUUAUAUUAUAUUUGAACAUGAUAGAGAAUCAACUAGACAACAAUGUUAAAGCUCUAAGAACUGACCAAAGACGUGAAUAACUUUCGGAACAGUUCAAGGAACUCUGUAAUGAGAAAGGGAUAAAAAGACAGCUGACUAUUCCUGGAACUCCACAACAAAAUGGUGUAGCGGAAAGAAUGAAUAAAACUUUAUUGGAAAUCGAAUAUCUUAUUGGGGAAGUGCUUUAUUAACGACUGCCUAUGUACUUAACCGAGUUCCUUCAAAAUGAGUUAGUUCCACCCCAUAUGAGUUAUGGACGGGUAAAAAACCUGACAUAUCUCAUCUGCGGCCAUGGGGGUCUGCAGCUUAUAUUCACAACCCUACUCAUAAGUUUGGAAAAUUAGGAGUUAGGGGUAAAAAGUGUAUCUUUAUUAGAUACUCAGAACACUUUAAAGGAUAUGUGUUCAUUGGUGAACAAGCAAGUGGAACUGUGUCUGAACUGGAAUCAUGAGAUGUUAGUUUUCUAGAAAAUAAAUUUCCUAGCAUUGGAGAAGUUGAUAAGGAUUUUCAAUUUUAUGAAUGAGAAGAUUCAAAUGAGAUUAUCAUUUCUAACAAUGGUGUUGGUGAUAGUAUGGAUCCUUUAGGGAUUGCCACUUUGAGUGGGAGUAAACCAUCAGACACUUCGAUUCCAGUUGGGGAAUCAACUCGAAAGAGUAAUCGUAUGCCAAUUCCUCAUUAUUGCUUUGAGAUUGAGGGAGAAGCUUUUAUGAUUUCUUCACACGAUGGUGAUUAGCCAAAUAUUUAUACUGAGGCUCUCACAUCGUCUGCUAAGGAUUUGUGGAUGAAAGCAAUGAAAGAAGAGAUAUAGUCUAUGAAAGUCAAUCAGGUCUGGGACUUGGUUGAUCUUUCGCCUAACCGUAAAGCUAUCGAAAACAAAUGGAUUCUCCGGAUACAGCGUAAGGUGGAUGAGACAAUCGAGAAAUAUAAAACAAGAUUAGUCGCGAAAGGUUAUACCCAACAUGAGGGUGUAGACUGUGAAGAGACUUUUUCUCCUGUAGUAAGGUUUGCUUCUAUACGAUUAAUCUUGGCUAUUGUUGCACAUCUAGACCUUGAGUUACAUCAAAUUGAUGUAAAAAACUGCAUUUCUCAAUGGAAAACUAGAGAAAGAAAUUUAUAUGGCACAACCACAAGGUUUUAUUUAGGGAUGACAAACAACGGGCAUGGGCCUGGCUUUCUCAAGCCUAGGUCUAGGCCCACUGUCAGUUAAGUGCGCGGGCCUGGGCCUGGGCCUGGGCCGAACUUGUGCUUUAUUUAUUAUUUUUCUGCUGUACCGUACAUCCGCCUUGGCCGUACAGCAGAUUAUUUUUAAUUUUUUAAAUUAUUGUAAAUUUGAAAUAAAUUAAUGAUCAACAAGUUGUUACAAUUAUAGAUAAAUUAAAAAAAAUGAAUAUUUCAAAUUAAAAUAAUAAAUAAAGCAAAUAAAAAAUCAUAACUUUAAUUUUCUUUAAUACUGAAUUUUCUAAGUCAAACGUUCUCUUAAUUAAUUGACACAAAAGAGAGAAUUUAGUAUCAUAAUUUUAGCUUUUUUGAAUCAUAAUUGAUUUAUAAGUUAAGAAUUUAAGUUUUCUUUUUUAUUUUAAAAUUACUUUUCAAUUUUAAUUAUAUUAUUCUAAUUUAUAAAUUUUUUUUUUAAAAGUAGUGGGCCUGCACUUUGUCCAAAUUUUUUUUCUUGGGCCCUCUGUCCAGGCCCUCAUGUGUGAGGGCCGGGCCUAAGCCCUUGGGCCGGCCUGAGCUUUUUUGCCACCCCUAGUUUUAUUGUUAAAGGUCAAGAGCGCAAAGUAUGUAAGCUAAAAAAGUCUAUCUAUGGCCUUAAACAAUCUUCUAGACAAUGGAACCUUAAAUUUCAUCAAACCGUAAUUUCUUAUGGCUUUAGGAUGAUUGAGGAAGGCCAUUGUGUGUACGUUAAAAGGUCUAAGGACGAUUUUGCGAUAUUGUCUUUGUAUGUGGACGAUAUACUGUUAGCUGUGAACAAUAAAGAGUUUGUCAAAACUGUUAAAGAUUGGCUAUACUCAAAAUUUGACAUAAAAGAUAUGGGCGAAACAGCUUAUAUCUUAGGAGUCAAAAUUUUCAGGGAUCGUUCAAGGAAACUUCUGACACUAUCACAAGAACCUUACAUUAAGAAGAUCCUUAAAAGAUUCAAUAUGGCUGAUUGUAAGCCAAUGGAUACCCCAAUAGCUAAAGGACAAUCUCUUAGUCUCGAUAUGUGUCAUAAUACUCCUCAAGAAAAGGAAAAAAUGGCUAGAGUUCCUUAUGCAAAUGCUAUUGGAAGUCUCAUGUGUGCUAUGAUGUGUACAAGACCUGAUAUUAGUUAUACUGUAGGACUGGUGAGUAGAUACCAGUCGAAUCCUAGACAGAAGCAUUGAAGUGCGAUCAAAAGGAUUUUGGCAUAUCUCAAAGGCACUGCAGAUUAUUCUUCAUACUAUCAAGGAGAUGGUUUGCGAAUUGUUGGAUAUUCAGGUGCCGACUGGAGUGGCGAUCUAGAUGAGCGCAAAUCGACCUCAGGAUAUGCAUUCUUGCUAAACAGAUAAGCAAUUACAUGAAGUAGCAAGAAACAAACAUGCACAACUUUAUCAACGAUGAAAGCUAAAUAUAUUGCAUGUUAUGCGGCAGUGCAAGAAGCUGUGUGGCUUAAGAGAUUUGUGGAGGACUUAUAGAUUAAUUUUAGCGCUACUAGUCUAAUAACUGUCUAUUGUGAUAGUCAGGCUGCUAUAUCAUUCUCUAAAGGCGCCAAAUAUCACAGCAAAUCGAAACACAUUGAGACUAAAUACAAUUUCAUAAGAGACAUUUUGGUAAAGAAUGAAGUAGUCAUACAAUACAUAUUUACGCAUAGCAUGAUAGCUGAUCCACUUACAAAAGUUGUAACGAGGGAUGUAUUCGCCUCUCAUGCUAGAUAGUUAGGGCAACGUAGAUUGUAAUUUUGCAUUGUAAAGAUAUUUUAUUUUGUAAACAUUUUUAUUAUAUGAAUUAUUUUGAAAUGCAAUGAUAUUUUAAGUUCUUUUAUUUUAAAUUAGUUUGAGAAAGACAUAAUUACACUUAUAUGAGAGUAUGUCGUCAGGUCAAUGACCGACUUUCUUACACAAGCAGUCACCUCAGUUGCUCUGCAAGAUGAGAUGAGACAAGUAGAAUAAUGAGACAAUGUGUUUUGUCUAAGAGCCAAACAAUAAAGAAAUAUUCUACAAAUUUUGUCGCCUUGACUGGAGUCAAGAUGAGGUCGUUUACAAUAUUUUCUCAUUGACAAACUAUGAUAUACCCCACCAUCAUAGAGACCUGAUUGAAACCAGAUGUGAAAUCUUAUUUUGAUGCUAAUAAAGAGUGUUCACUUUAAGAACUCUGGUCAGGCGCUGUAAAAGAGAGACUGGAUUAAAAUCUGUACAAUGGAUUAAAUUAAUAAGACAUACGCCCUGAAAUGAAAGAUUCAUGUAACGCGUAUAUUAUACCGUGCGUGCUUGGUGACCAAAAUGGAAAAUGAGAGAAUUUCCCUUCUUCCUCAUUGUGUAAGUUCUAUAUGACUUUCUAUAAGUCAAUUCUGGUAUUCCUAUGACUAUCAACUAUGUUUUUGAGAUUUCAGACUGGUGUCUACUACUUUAGUAUGUUAUUUAUGAUCUUGACAUGAUUUGAUCUAUGAAACAUGUCUAGGAAAGUGACUAAUCUUGAUGGAUAGACAUUAGCGUGAUGGGAAGAUUUAAUUUUUUUUUAUGUGAUUCACUGGUCGACCAAUUGUUUAAUAUCUUUGUGAUAUUACAAUUGUGAAUACAUAAAGAAAUUGCGCAAUUUUGGCAUAUUGAGGGGAUUUAGUAUGCUUGAGUAUUAAAGUAAAUUAAAUAUGAGAUACAAUGAACAUAUGUUGAGUUAUUUUGUAUGUGAUUGCAAUUGAAACAUCUCUUGCCUGCUGCAUAUAUGCUUAUAAAACCACUGCUGUAAAACACACGAAAUUUAUUUUUAUUCAUUCGAAUAAAUAAGAAAGAGCAGUGUGUGUGUGUGAGUGAACAAAAAAAAAAGAUUAAAAAUAAAAUCAUUGAACAAUCCAGAAAAGGUAAAUACAUUGUGAUUUGAGGAAGAUUUUUGUUCAUGAUUUCUUUCCGACCUGUGACGUGAUCCAAUGCUUGUUUAUUUCGCUGCAUAAUUCGAAAAGGUAAGGUCCAUUGACUCCUUUUAGAAUUUUCUUUCACUCUAUAAUAAUCUCCAUUGUUGAUUCAAUAAAACUCAUCUUUAGGAUUCUCCCAUGGAUGUAAGUUGAGCAUUCUUUGCUUAAUUGAACCACGUAAAAUCAUGGUUUCUGUGGGUUCUUAUUUUUUGAUUUGUUCUUGAUUAAAUUCUUGUUGUUUUCUUGUUGUGUGAUUUGUUCUGUUCAGAUAUUAGGUUUGUGCAACUUGUAUUGAAUUGAUCAUGAGUGUCUUGGGCAGUGAUCAGUCUUGGUUGUGUUUGUAAGUCUUGAUGUUCACUACAAUUUGUAUCAAAGCUUGGCGUUCUGUGAUCAAGUCCAAGUAUGGCGUCUUCUAAGGUUGAUGUAGAGAAAUUUGCAGGCAAGAAUGAUUUUAACAUGUGGAAGAUUAAAAUGGAAGCUUUGCUGAUCACUCAGGGUUUGAGAGAUGCAAUUGAGCCUGAAACGAAAGAAUGAAAAUGGGUUUCUUCAUCAAAGACUCCAGAAGAAGUUGCAGAAAUUCACAAGAAGGCCAGAAGUACCAUAAUUCUUAGUCUUGGUGAUUCAGUCAUUAGGGAAGUGGCCAAAGAAAGUACAGUGGCAGGAUUAUAGGCCAAACUUGAAAGUUUUUAUAUGACUAAGUCUCUUACAAAUAGACUCUACAUCAAGAAGAUGAUGUUUACACUGAGAAUGGUGGAAAGAACUUCACUGGAGGAUCACAUUGAUGAGUUCAACAAAGUAUGUGAUACUCUGGAAACCAUUGAUACUGCUCUAAAUGAUGAAAUGAAGGUUUUUUUUGUUGAUCAGUUCAUUGCUGAAAUCUUAUGAGAAUUUGGUUGAUGCCCUGAUGUAUGGUAGACAAACCUUGACACUUGAUGAAGUAAAAUCUGCCUUAAAUACAAGGGAGCUUCAAAUAAAACAAGUUCACUUGGAGAAUGGUACAAGUGAAGGAUUGACAGCAAAGGUUAACGCUGAUAAUAAAAAGAAGAAAGGGAAGUCAAAGAGCAAAAAUAGAGAUCUGAAAUGUUUUCAAUGUCACAAAGAAUGCCAUUUUAAGAGGGAUUGCCCUGAGAAGAAAAACAAGCCCAAAGAUUUAAGAAACUAUAGUGGAGAUGCAGUUUUAGUAGAAGAAGAAGGGUCUGAGUCUGCUGGUGUGUGUGUGGCAACCGAAAGCAACUAAAAAGGUAUAUGAGUUCUAAACUCUGGAUGCACCUUUCAUAUGUGCCCUUUUGGAAGUUACUUUAAUGAAUAUCAAGAAUUUGAUAGUGGUAGAGUGAUAAUGGGAAACAACUCUAUUUGUAAAAUCAUUGGAAUUGAGGAUGUAAGCCUUAAACUACAUGAUGGAUCAAUAAGAGUCAUUAAGCAAGUCAAGCAUGUGCCAGACUUGAAAAGAAAUCUAAUCUCUCUUGGAAUGUUGGAUCAAAUUGGGUGUAGAAUUAGGCUUGAAUCUGGACAAUUGAGUGUACUAAAUUGUUCAAAUUUGGUCAUGAAGGGACUAGGAAAAAUAGAGUUUACAUCUUGGAUAGUGAGGUGAUAUCUGGAGAGGCUGAUGUAUCUCUUAAGCCUACUGAAGAUAAAACCAGGAUAUGACAUCUAAGGUUAGGGCACAUGAGUGAGAGGGGGUUAAAAGAGUUAGAAAAGUAAGGGUUGUUUGGUGAUGACAAGAUUAGUAAUCUGGAGUUCUAUGAAGAUUGUGUUCUAGGGAAGUCAUCAAGGAACAACUUCAGGAGAUCUAGUCACAAAUCAAAUGAGAGGCUGGAUUAUGCACAUUCUGAUUUGUGGGGACCUGUUCAGUGUGUAUCUCUAGGACGAAACACGUAUUUUUUGUCCAUUAUUGAUGACUUCUCCAGGAAAGUAUGGGUGUAUGUUUUAAAGAACAAAGAUAAAGUGUUUGAGAAGUUUAAAGAGUGGAAACAAUUGGUAGAAAAUCAAACUGGGAAGAGAUUAAAGAAGCUGAGAACUGAUAAUGGUUUGGAAUUUUGUAACCAGCCAUUUGACAUUUUUUGUACAAAUGAAGGUAUAGCAAGACAUAGGACAGUAAGGAUGACCCCACAAUAAAACGGGUUAGCUGAAAUGAUGAAUAUGACUUUUAUGAAAAAUGUAAGAUGUAUGUUGAUUCAGUCCAAGCUUCCAAAAACACUGUGGGCAGAAAUUUUACUUACAACAUGCUAUCUUGUGAACCUAAGCCCAUCAACAACAAUUGAAUUUAAAACACCAUUUGAAAAGUGAUUAGGAAAACAUGCUGACUAUGGAAUUCUUAAAGCCUUUGGCUGUCCAGCCUAUGUUCAUAGCAGUCAAGGUAAACUAGCACCAAGAGCCUUGAAAGGCAUUUUCAUAGGUUAUCCAAAGGAAGUCAAAUGGUUCAAGGUUUGGUGCACUAACCUUAACCCACCAAAAAUGCAUAGUGAGUAAAGAUGUAGUGUUUAAUAAGGGGAGUUUGGUUAAGAAGAGUCAUGCAUCUGUUGUGAAAACUGAAAAUACCAGAUCAGCAGAUAAACAUGAAUUUGAGGUGGAGCCUUCUAUAUUCAGAAACAAAACUGAAGCUGCUGAUUCAGGCGAUGUUCCAAAAAAUAUUGAAGACAUAGAAACACCUCAAGAUUAGUCAAGUUCUCAGGACCAAAUCAAAGAACGCCAGCUUACUAGAGAUAGAGAAAAAAGGCAAAUUAAACCUAUAAGGAGAUUUGGAUAUGCAGAUUUAAUUGGCUUUGCUCUAGUAGCUGCAAAAGACAUUGAUGAUGAGGAACCAAAGAAUUUCAAAAAAGUAACUCAUGGCCUGCUCAAGGAAGAAUGGUUGAAAACUAUGAAAGAAUUUCAGAAAGCUAUGGAUGAGGAAAUGGCUUCUCUCUACAAAAACAAAACGUGGGAGCUGGUUAAGAAGCCUGAAAAUAGGAGAGUGGUUGGCUGCAAAUGGAUCUUCAAAAUCAAGGAGGGCAUAAAUGGAUCUGAACCAAGGAGAUUCAAAGCUAGACUUGUGGCAAAGGGUUAUACUCAACAUGAAGGGAUAAAUUUCAAAGAAGUAUUCUUUCCAGUGGUUAGACACGCCUCAAUCAGAGUUAUCUUAGUAAUAACAGCUGUUCAAGACAUGCAGCUUGAUCAACUUGAUGUCAAGACAACAUUUUUGCAUGGUAGACUAGAGGAAGAAAUACUGAUGUCUCAGCCUGAAGGGUAUGUAUGUCCUGGCAAAGAAGAUCAUGUGUGUCAGCUAAAAAAGUCUCUUUAUGGGCUCAAAUAGCCCCCUAGAUAAUGGUACCUCAGAUUUGAUGAAUUCAUGCAGUUACAUGAGUUCAUCAGAUGCAAUUAUGACUGUUGUAUUUACUACAAGACAAUCAAGGAUGGUUUGUACAUUUACCUCAUUCUAUAUGUAGAUGACAUGUUGGUUGCUUGCAAGGAUAGAGAUGAGAUAGACAAGCUCAAGAUGCUUCUAAAUUCUGAAUUUGAAAUGAAGGAUUUGGGGUAUGCAAAUAAGAUUUUAGGAAUGGAGAUUAGAAGGAAUAGAAGUAAAGGCACUAUAUUUCUGUCACAAGAAAAAUACUUGAAAAAAAUGUUGGAAGUGUUUGGCACGAGUAAUGCUAAACCUGUACAGUAACCCUUGGCUUCACAUUUCAGGUUAAGCAAUUUGUAGUGUCCUUAGACAGAAGCUGAAAAGCAAGAUAUGGCAAAUGUGCCUUAUGCAAAUGCAGUAGGCAGCCUUAUGUAUGCAAUGGUAUUGACAAGGCCAGAUAUAGCUCAUGUUGUCAGUGUAGUCAGCAGAUAUAUGGCUCAGCCUGGGAAAGACCAUUGGAAGACUGUAAAAUGGAUACUUAUGUAUCUUAAUGGCACUGUGAAUUGUGGUCUGUUGCAUGGCAAAACAAAAGCAAAUGGUGAAGGUUUGAAAGGGUAUAUAGACUCAGAUUAUGUAGGGGAUUUAGACAGAAUGAUGUCUCUUAUAGGUUAUAUAUUCAUGUUGAAUGAUUGUGUUGUGAAUUGGAAGGUAACUUUACAAAGUGUAGAGGUUCUUUCAACAACUGAGUCAGAGUAUACAGCUGCUAUAGAAGCUGUAAAAAAAGCACUUUGGCUUAAAGGGUUGGUGACAGAAUUAGGGUUAUACUAGAAGUCAAUGUUAGUUUAAUGUGAUAGCUCAAGUGUAAUUCAUUUGAGCACCCUGCAGACCAUGAAAAGACCAAACACAUAGAUGUUAAGUUUCAUUUCAUCCGGAAUGAAGUGUCAAGAGGUGUUGUGAAGAUGGUAAAAAUACACACUGAUGAGAACCCUGCAGAUACUUUUACUAAGGUGAUUCAUGUAGCUAAGUUCAGAGCUUGUCUGGAACUAGCUGGAUUGUGCAAUUAGUAAAAUGCAUAAAGUUUUGGAGAAUGAGUUAGAGUGAGGAUAAACUUUGAUUCAAGGUGGAGAAUUGUGAGAUAAUGAAUCAAGUUAAGCUUUCCAGAAACGACUGCAUUUUGGUAUUAUAUAAGCUAUGUUAGCUCACGUGCUGCUCAGCUACCUCAUAACAGAAAAUAAAUUAGUCAAAACAACAGGGCUCUAGCGCGUUUUGAAUAACAGCUUAAGUAACCACGUGAGGAAGCAUGUGAUGAAGGCUGAUUCGAGUUUGUUAAAGUUUGUUAACCACGUGUAAGCAAACUGUACAAUCUGGAAAUCUUGCUAGCUAUCAAAACAAGGUAUAAAGGCUGUUUCACGGAGCGAGUUCAAUGAUGAUUCUAGAGUCUUGCAGAGAGAGUCUAGUGAGAGAAAGUGUUGUCUUGUUCUCUGUAAAGUCUAGUGUAAGGCUCUGUAAUAAUCUCCAUUGUUGAUUCAAUAAAACUCAUCUUGAGGCUUCUCCCGUGGAUGUAAGUUGAGCAUUCCUUGCUCAACUGAACAACGUAAAAUCUUGGUUUCUGUGGGUUCUUGUUUUUUUAUUUGUUCUUGAUUAAAUUCUUGUUGUUUUCUUGUUAAGUGAUUUGUUCUGUUCAGAUCUUAGAUUUGUGCAACUUGUAUUGAAUUGAUCACGAAUGUCUUGGGCAGUGAUCAGUCUUGAUUGUAUUUAUAAGUCUUGCUGUUCACUACAAUUGGUAUCAGAGCCUGGUGUUCUGUGAUCAAGUCCAAGUAUGGCGUCUUCUAAGGUUGAUAUCUAAUUUGUUUAUUUGCUUGGUCAUGGUGUAGCUUUGCAUUCUCAUAAUUUUCGUGUUUUGGUUAAACUUAUUUUACUUUGUUUUCCAUAAUCGACUACUUUAUAGAUACCGUUGGGUGGAGAACAUCGUCAAUAAGACGUAAUAGUGAAUUGCCAAAGGUACUAUUAUCUAGUUGAAUUUGUAUGUUUAGUACCAUUUUCUAGCCUUUUGGUUGGAGCAUAACAAUAAAGACGUCUUUUUGUUAAACAGUGGGAAGAUUCGCUUGAUGAAAAAUAUCCACAUAUCGUGUACCAUGAACAUUGCAAGGCCUGUGACGUUGAGCAGCUUGACCCUAGUUCAAUGGAAGCUGAUGGCAGUGAUAAGAUAGAAGGUCUGCUAUUUGAAAAUUUUAAUUGAGAAGGAAUUACAGUCUCUCCUAAUUUAAUUUGUUUAUGUUGUUUGCCUUUGUUAUGUGUCUUAUGUCAGCUUAGCCUGCUUGCCUAAUCAAAAUAUACAUCCCUUCAUCGUUCAUCCGUUGUGGCUCUUAAGUUUUUUGCAUACCAUUAAUUUGUUCAUUGUUUUACUCUUGCUCUGACACUGAUAACAUUAAAAAUGUUAGUCUGUGCUUAUGAGUUGGCUACGAUCAUUGCCCGAAAAAGCGUAAUAUACACUGAUGUAUUGUUGAGUAUUUUUUUGUUGGCUUAUAUUGUGCAGAGGAACUGGUGAAAGGCCGAUCUCGUGUUUCAUGGGAAAAGAUAGAUGUUAGCUUCCACAACUGCAGACAAAGGUUUGCUGCUCAUAGAGUUACACAUGUAACUCUUUCCCUCUCGCACGUGCAACGGGACAUGCACAUGAGUGCCUGCGGGCUCAUGACAAAUGCAUGCAAGGUUGAAUAAAAUUACAAAUGCAUGAAAAAUUUUCUGCUGUUGUUUGAUGGAUUGUAACUUUACGUGUUUCCAAUUUGAUGUUAUGCUUCCGUGAAUAAUAAUGUUGCGUCUUAAAUGCUAAAAUUGAAGUGUCUCUUGCAUGGGAUGGAAAUAACGCGAGAAGGGAGGGAUGGGCAUGGGAAUGACAUUUCAGUUUUGCUCCCUAGAAUGAUUAUUUUAUAACAGAAACCAUAUUUCCUGACAUUUGCUUGAUUGCGUUUCAAAUGUUCGUCUUUGGGAGUUCAGGUUUUUCAAAAUGAUAGGUUUAUCUUGUAGGCAAUUGGUCAAACAAAUCCUUUUUAAUAAGGGACUCUAAUGCUCUCUUUUGAGUAUAAUAGCCACUGAAUUUAAUAACUAAAAAAAAUUGACUUUAAAUUUUUUUAAUAAAUACAAAUAUAUAGUAGAUUAAUCAUAUUAAAAUAUUUUUUAAUAUUAUAUUUGUAUUUAUUAUAAAUAUUUUGAAUAUAUAUUUGGGUCAGAUACAUUUUACAAUUAAUAAAAUAUAUUUCACAAAUUACUAAUAUUAAAAUUAUUUUAUAUGAUAUUUAAAAUAAUUUAAAUUUUUAUAUAUUUACUUUAAUAUUACGUCUUUAUUUAUUAAAAAAUUUACUUUAAUAUGAUAAAAUACAUCUCAUACAUUAUAAAGUACUAAAAUAUUUUUCUUUUAAAUGUAUAUAUUUUAUUAUUAAAUAUAUUUUGAUAUUUUAAUUCUAUUUAUAACAAAACAUUGAAGUCAAUUUGUUAAAUUAAUAAAGUCAAAGAAUAUUAUAAUUUGGAAGGAUAUUGAUGUCCCUUAAUAAAAAUUUUAGGGUCUUGUUUCUCUUUUCUCAAUUUUUGGAAAUGUAACUAUCCUUUUCCUUUUUUCUAUAAUAUGUAACAAAAGAAAGUUAUUGAUAGUAAAAACCUGUUAAUAUUUAUUAGAUUUCCAAAAUGGAGAUGCGCCACUGCCGUGAUGGAUUCUUAGCUCAAGCAAUUAACUAUUAAGAUCUCUCAACUCACGGACUUUAUUGACAGCACUAAAACUGUUAUUAUCUCUCUUUCCGGCAGCAUCACGAAACCAAAUAGACCUUAAAAACUGUUAUCUAAUCCGGGUCUAGAUGGGAACCGAAUUUUAAUUGGGGCUUCCGUGGCGACCACCAUCAUUAUUGUCAUUCGCUGGUGGAGCAGGUCCUGCUUUGUUAUUAUGGCUUUCAUCAUCAUUAUUGACAUUUUCUGGUGGAGAAUAGUCAAUCAUUUUCCUCAGAUGCUGCAAAGGAGACUGAAUUGCAGCCCCAAGUUCAGCAAUUAAUUCCUUUUUUAUUCGAGCAUGUAGCUCAGCCAAAACUUUCUCACGAUCUGAAAAAAACGAAAAAGAAUAUAAUAAUUACUACAUAAAGAGUAAAGAAGAGUGAAGUGAUUUUUUGUUUUGAGCUUCAGUAGUCCUAUUUUAUCGAGAACUGGAUUUCAGAAAAUAAAUUAAGUUUAAUAAUUUGAAACCUGUCAUAUUACGACUUAGCAUGUGAGAGAGAAAAUUAAAAUAAAAAACGAAGAAAAUGGGUCGAUAUAUUCUAAAAUUUCAAAUACUUUUCUUAAACUGACUAUUAUUUUUUUCUUUUCCAAUUUGGGUCAAACACUAGAUUUCAGAAGAAGAAUUUGUGUUUUAAAAUCAGAGAGAGAGAGAGAGAGAGAGAGAGGCCUUGCACGACAGAGGCGUGAAUGAAGUGGUAACAUUGAUCAACGGCGAGAUUUCGGUAAGCAGGCUGGUAUUUAGGGCAUUGGCAAGAAGAAUCUUCCUCAAUCGGGUGCAGUUCCACUUCCAAACUGAGAGGAAGCAAAAUCAGUAACUGGAGAAAGAAGAAUUGACAAGACCAUUUUGACCAUCCCAUUUUAGUUUCUUUAUGGAAUCCUAAGAACCAGUAAAAAGAUCAUGAAUUUUUUGUUUUAGCUCAUUUGUUACCGAAGACAAUGAUUCUUAGUGCAUAUAUAGAUUAUUUUUCACUUAAUAUUUUAAUUUUAUUUUUUUACUAUUAAAUAUUUAAAUCGUUAAAAAUAACAAUUUUUUUAGAAAAUUCUAUUUAUCCCUAAAUUAUGUAAUUACAAUUUAUUCCUUAAAAUAAAAAAGGACAAAAGUUCAUUAGAUAUAAAGAGAUAAUGUUUUUAUCAAUUAAUUAUUUUGAUAAAAUUGUAACUCUCAUAAUAUUUUUGGCUUUAUAUAUUGAGAGGUUCCUAAAAUAAUCUUGUGACAUCAGUAAAUUUUUAAUAGAUUUAAAAUUUAGUAAUAAAAUAAUAAAAAAUAAUUGUAAAAUUUUUUCACAAUAAACUAAUAUAUAAAAAAAAUUAAGUGAUAAUAUAAUAAUUUCCCUUGGCUACAUUUACCGAAAGUCUUGGUCGCCAAAGACUUCCUGUAUAUUGGAGUAUGACGCACUAGUUGUAGAAAAAAGUCUUGAUCAUUCUGGCAAUAAUUUGACGUACAAUCACGUACGGGUGGGCUAAUAGCCAGAGACCACAUGCAAAUCUAUUUAUUACGUAUAGUACGAAAAUUUAAUGCUCGUAGGAUCAAUUAAGUUGAUUAGAUACAUUUUCCCUACACCAAAACUUUUGAAAAGAAAGUGGAAAUGGUGAUAUUGGGUGUUUUACACGCGAACGACCACCAAAACAGCCUUGAUCCUUGAAGUAACCUGUAGAUAUUUAUUCAGGGGUGGGCUAAUAGCUAGUGGCCACAUGCAAGUUUGUUUAUCACGUACAUUGCAAAAAUUUAAAUGCUCGUUCAAAUUUUUGAAUGGACACGUGCUGUAACAAAAUCUUUGUAAGAAAGUAUAUGUAGGGAUGGUAAUUAUACCUGUAAAUCUGUAAAUUUGUCCAAACUCACCCGCUAAAACUCAUCUGUUAUGGGUAAUUUUACCCGUUGCGGGUGCAGGGGAAAAAUCAGGUUUUUAAAUUUUUAUAAAACCUUUUGAAGAUCGCUCUCAUAUAAUAUAUAAGAAUUCGUAUUCUAGAAAUCGUACCUUGAAAAUCCGAGUUGGCUUUUUCCGCUGAAGUGAUUUAGGCUCCUAGAUCACGAUCCGCCACCACCACUCCUGUUAAAUCACGAUCCGUCACCACCACGCUUGUUAGAUCACGAACUGUCACCAAUGAUCUUCCAGGUUAUGACUCAGGUUCGAUCUGCACUUGACGUGUGGGCGCCGUUAUCACUACCAAAGCAACUAGCACGAGAAAAUUUUUCUCUCAACAAUAGAGAGAAAAAUCUUAUUCUCUGAUCUGUAUAAAGUGGCUUCCCCCAUUUCUUUAGGGAAAAAUAAGCCUUUUAUAUCACCCUUUAGUGAAAACCCUAGGCUCCAAAUAACUCAAAAAACAAAACCCACGUUAUUUGCUUUUUCAAUAAGGGACCCACCUUGUAAAAUAACAUAAGGCCCCUUACACAUAAGCUUAUUAAAUGGAGCCUCCCACUAAAUGAUAUAUUUAGGCUUUUGACCCAAAUAGCUAGUUAUCUUGCUUAUUAGUCCAGCAGUGGUGCAAUCAAUUAAAUGAGCUAACCCGGGGAUCAUUUGGGAACAUACAAUAGUGGCUACAAUAAUUAGACAUGUAAUUAAACUAGCCCAAUUAUUUAAUUCCAAAUCAACUCCACUAAAAGAUUGGAACUGACUUCCAUAAUUAUAUGCUCGAAUAAUAAUUCGUCCCAAGCCACAUUGAUUUCUUUACUGCACAAUCAUUUGUACCACAUCGUUAAUUAAAUUGAUAUCUCAACUGUCCAAUCAAUUUAAUAACAUCUUAUUCCUGCUGUACGGCCAAGGCGGAUGUACGGUACAGCAGAUGCUAGCUCCAAUAUCCAUAUUGAAAAGGGAAAACAGCUGACUUGUACAUGGACCUUAAAGGCAGGGAAUACAUCAAUUAUAGUACAAAACACGAUCAGCCAAAUGAAAAUGGUUUAACUGAAUAUCAUAAUAACCAACUGAACGCAAGGCUGUUUUCCAUUUAUUUAUACAAAUCUGCUGUACGGCCAAGGCGGAUGUACGGUACAGCAGAUAUAGAGAGAGCGUCGAAGCUUACACACAAAGGCAGGAUAUUGUGUAUUAAGAAAACCAAUAGGUUGGUGCAUAUACACAUCCUCCUAUAGAUAACCAUGCAGAAAAGCAUUUUCUAUAUCUAACUGUGGAAUAAGUCGGCUAUUGUUACCAGAUAUAACUAAAGUAAGACGAAUGGUAUUAUGAUUAACCGCCAAACUAAACCUCUUACCAAAGUUAAGGCCAGGUCGUUGGAAAAACAUUAGUAACCAAAUGAUCUUUAUAAUGAAUACGACCAUCAUCUUUGUGCUUAAUUGGAUGCACCAAUUUAUUUGGAAAAACAUUGUAAGAUGGAUGUGGAGAAACUAACUCAAGUGCCGGCUCUUUGAAAAGCAUUGAACUCAUCAUCCAUUGCCUGACGCCAUCAACAAUCCUUAUUUGCCUACACAAAACAGCAUCAUUAGUAAUAGAAAUUACAUUAGCAUAUUUCAGGCUUGGUUUCACAAUACCAGCUCUCGCUCGAGUACCCAUUGGAUGAGAAGAUAAUGCAUCUGAAUUAAUAAAAUCACAAGGCAUAGAUGGUGUCAGCGUAGGCAAAGACAAUAAUUCUGAAAUUGUAUUACUAUUUGUAUUAGUUGUGGCUGAAUCUUAGCUAGGAGAAUUAUUUGAGGGGGUGAAGUGGAGGAAGCAAAAGAGGAAUUAGUGUGUAAUGGUGGGGGAUUAAUUAGAGAAGGGAAGGAAUGAAUUGGAGGUGAAGUAGAUGAAGUUGGUAACAUGUGGCCGAAUUUUAGCUAGGAGAAUUAUUUGAGGGGUGAAGUGGAGGAAGCAAAAGAGGAAUUAGUGUGUAAUGGUGGGGUAUUAAUUAGAGAAGGGGAGGAAUGAAUUGGAGGUGAAGUAGAUGAAGUUGGUAACAUGUGGCCGAAUUUUAGCUAGGAGAAUUAUUUGAGGGGUAGAUUUAAUAAGUCUGACAGUCAUUUCAAUGUUAAUUAAAUCUCAUAUGUGAUCCUGUUCAAUGUAGUUGUACUACAUCAAUAAAUUCAUACAUGAUUAAGACAAAUCAUUCAAUGAAUUUAUUACAGUCUAUACCUAAAUAAAGUGCCCAACUUUAUUUAUCAACUGCGAACUAAAUUUAUUUAAUCAUAAGAUAACUUGUAUUUAUGUCUUCUGUGAAUCCACAUGGUGAUCACAUAAAUACAUAUAAUAUGAUUAAAUGGACUUUAAUACAAAUAUUAAUGCAAUUAAGAUAUUUGAAUAAAAUACCUCAUUUAUUUUAUUAAUCAGAAAAACUGUUUAUUACAAUUAAAUAAACACAUAUGCUUUUAAAGAGCAUAUUUUCCCAACAGCGGGCGGGUUUAAUAUUAUAAACUAAAACCCGCAUAUGGAUGCGGGUGGAUUUGGUAUUAACCUUAUAUCCGAUGGAUACCCGUAUGGAUAUCCACCAAACCUGUAAUAUUUUUUCCAAAUAUUUUUAAUUUAAUUUUAAUCUAAAAAUGUAUAAAGAAAAUAAUAUCAUUAUUCAAAUUACCAAAUAGUCAAAGGCUCAAAGUUGUGUAUGUGUGUAUGUUUGGAGCUUGUUUUAAAUGAUAAUAUGAAAUAUAAUUAUUAUUUUUAGAUACUAAUUUGUAUUUUUUAAAUGAAUUUGUGUAAUUUAUACUUAAAUUUGAGAAUUUGUGUUGGAUUGAUGUGGAAAUUUUAAUUUUUUAUUUACAUUGUUUAAAUAUAAAAUUGAGUAUGUUAUAUGGAUUUUGAGGUUAUUAUUAUAAAUUUAUAUAUUAAACAUUUGUGAUUUUAAAUACGGAAACCCGCAAAAAAUCCGCUGGGUACCAUUGCGGGUUUGGUAAUUGUUAAAACCCGCUGCGGGUGGAUUUUUUUAAAAAAAUUAAAACCCGCUGCGGGUUGCGGGUGGGUUUGGUAAUUUAAAUUUUGUGCGGGUUUGGGUUUGGUAAUGGCAAACCCGCUGCGGGCAGUGCCCAUUGCCAUCCCUAAGUGUACGAGAUGGUACUUUAUGCGAGAAUAACCAAACAAUAUCGAUCGUUGAAGAAAUCCAGUAGAUUUUUGUGAAAAAUUAUUUGUAGCAAAAACCUACAAUUAGCCAAACUCUUUGUCAUCAAAGAUAUCUUAUUGAUUUUUUUUUUUUUGAUACACUAAUAUAUUACAAUAUUGAUAUUUAUAAUCAGAAAUCCGUCGAGACUUAUCAUAAGUAAUUCUAUUACAGCACAAUUCGAAUAUCAAUCUUCAUUAAAGUGAAGGGAGAUUUGUCUUCACUAUUAAUAUUGGAGGAGAAUCGAUCCUACCCAAUGUGGGGAGCCAUAUCCUCUCGAAUUUUAAGGCAUGCAAAUUUGGUCAUGGCACAACUAUACAAGGUCUUGGUCAUGUUUGGAGGAACUAUCACAGGUGGGCUAGUAUGGCCGGUGGCCACCAUGCAAGACAACGAAUAAAAUUAAACGAUGUUUUUUUCUAUAUUGCAAAAUUUCUAUAAAAGGGUGUUUAUCAGCCCAUCCAUUGUUGCUAACUAUAAUUAAAAUUGAAUGACACUUUAACAAAAUAGUCUUGAUCGUCGAAGAAAUCCUAUAAAUUUUUAUGAAAAAUUAGUUGUAAUAAAAAUUCAUGAUGUCUUGGUCAGGUUGUUGGGAUAUUUUUUUUUUUUUUUUUUUUGAGGAAAAAAUUGUUGUUGGGAGUUAUGACCACUCUCUAUCACAGGUGGGUUAAUGUAACCCAUCGCCACUAUGCAAAACAUUAAAUAAAAUUAAGUGACAUUUAUUUCAUAUAGCAAAUUUUUGUAAGAAAGCGUUUGUCAACCCAAACUUUGUCGCUAACUAUAAUUAAAAUUGAACGGCACUUUAACAAAACAGUCUUGAUCAUCAAAGAAAUAUUGUAGAUUUUUAUGAAAAAUUAGUUGUAGAACGUCUUGGUCAUGUUGUUGGGAGUUUUUUUUCCUUUUCUUUUGGUGGGGGAUAGACUAUUGUAUGGAGUCAUGACCACUCUUUAUCACAAGUGGGCUAAUAUGGUCAGUGACCACCAUGCAAGAUUUAAAGUAAAAUUAAUGAUAUUUUUUUCAAUAUAUAUAGCAAAAUUUUUGUAAGAAAGUUUUUACGAAUCCAAACUUUGCCGCUUACUAUAAUUAAAAUUGAAUUAAACUUUAACAAAAUAGUCUUGGACAUUGAAAAAAUCUUGUAGAUUUUCAUAAAAGUUAGUUGUAGUGAAAAUCUAUAAUGUCUUGGUCAUGUUGUUAGGAGUCUUUUAUUUUUUUUUCUUUUUUUUUUUUGAAUAAAAUGUUGAUGGGAGUUACGACCACUCUCUGUCACAAGCGGUCGAAUAUGGCCAGUGGCCACCGCGCAAGACAUCAAAUAAAAUUAAAUUACAUUUUUUCUAUAUAGCAACAUUUUUAUAAAAAUGUGUUUACUAAUCCAACCUUUGUUGCUCACUGUAAUUAAAAUUGAAUGACACUUAAACAAAAUAGUCUUGAUCGUCGAAUAAAUCUUGUAAAUUUUUAUGAAAAAUUAAUUGCAGAAAAAAUCUAUAAUGUCUUGGCCAUGUUGUUGGAUUUUUUUUUAAUAAAAUAUUGUUGAGAGUUAUGAGACAUUUUUUCAAUAUAGCAAAUUUUUGUAAGAAAGUGUUUAUCGAUCCAAAUCUUGUCGCUUACUAUAAUUAAAAUUGAAUGAAUAAAACAGUCUUGAUCAUUGAAGAAAUCUGGUAGAUUUUUAUGAAAAAUUAGUUGUAGUAAUUAUUUAUAACGUCUUGGUCAUGUUGUUCGGAUUUUCUUUUUUUUUUUAAUAAAAUGUUGGCGGGAGUUAUGACCCCUCUUUAUCACAACUUCACAAGUGGGCUAACAUGGCGCUAGUGGUCACCAUGCAAGACGACAAAUAAAAUUAAAUAACAUUUUUUCUAGCAAAAUUUUUGUAAGAAAGUAUUUAUCAACCCACCUUUGUCCUUUACAAUAAUUAAAAUUGAAUGACACUUGUCAUCCAUGGUCUUGUAGCAGAUCGCCAUAUCGCAACGUAAAGAUUUAUUGUCAAUUAAAUCGACCUGCCUACCUGCAUUUAUAUUACUCUGUGCUACAUCUUUUCAGAUGUCAAGUUCUUUUCAGAUGUCAAGUUAGCACAAGGAUCUUUUCUUCAACCCGUCUGAAUUUCCUGUAUUAAUUUAUGGUACUCUCGAUAAAUAAUUGAUGAAAAUAGGUCUUUAAUUUCCAUCUAAAAUAUAAAUGCCGAAUGCCGAGUAAUAUUAACCGUAGCGCCCGAAGCCCAGACUCUGGGCUUUGUUUUUCAGAGAUAAAUUGGCUUGGUGCCGAGUAAUAUUAACUCGGCUAGUUUGCUGUAAUUGUCACUUACGUCCUCGUCUUCUUGUCACCAUUAUUUCUUGAUAUUUGUCAUGCGAGUUGGUAUUUGUCAUGAUACUUACUUACUAUUCAGAAACAGUAGUAUUUUUUACUAUUUUAAUGGCGUAAAAGCUAUACAAAUAUGAAUACGAAAAGAUUUCAAAUUUUCAAUGUAAAGAUUGUCAAGCAUAAGAGGCUCCACUUUAUUUCUAGGUUUUUUUUUUUUUUUUUUUACCAAUUUGUUGGUUAACAUUUUACCAACCAAACAAUUUUCUACUUUCUUUUCUAAUACAGCCUUUACAGUUUACACUUUCCUCCAUAUUAAUCACCUCUCCAUCUUCAUCAGAGAAAGAAAGAGUGUUACAGAGCUAGCUGUAUUAACUCCUCUUGCAUUCAUAGUUGAAUCUUGAAUACCGUGUAGUGACUGUGUGAGAGUAGUUGAAGUUGUUCAAAGUGAUGACGGAGAAAACAUACUAAUAAAAUGUUAACAAAAAAAAAAGUAUUUAAACAGGCCUCAGUACAUUGUGUUGCCAUUAAUGUUGUCUUUACUUACUGCCCUAGGAGUAGGGAAAAUGUGUAUUCUUUUUACUCUAAUAUUUAUUUAUUCAUUUGAAAAGGAGAUCGGGAGUCCUAUUCAUUUUUAGAUUGAGGAGAAUGAUUCCCACCUUCAUGGGGGAUCUCUUUCUUUUAUUGUCCCUUCAUGCUUUUCUUACUAAAUAUAAUAUAAUUAUAUUUAUUAAAAUAAAAUAAUGUUACAUUUAUUUAAAAUAAUAAUAUUAUAUUUAUUUAAAUAAUAUUUAAUAAUAUUAUAUUUAUUAAAAUAAUAAUUUAAAAUUUAUUUAAAAACAGCAGAACAAAAAAAUAUGAUUUGCAUAACUAAGAAUAAUAAUAAUAAUUAUUAUUUUAUAUAAUUAGAAUUAAUAAUAAAAUAAAUAGCUUAUUUUACAAAUAUAUAAUUUUAUCCACUUUGUAAUUAAAUAUUACAAUUCUUUAAGUAAGGGUAAACUAUAAUUUGAAAUAAUUUAUGCUCGAUCUAAGACAAAGUAAACACACAAAUAGAAUUCUUAUUCGUAUUCCACACUUCCAUUCUAAUAUAGGUAAACAAUUUUCUCAUACUUCACUCCACACUUCCAAUUUUAGAAUUCUCAUUUAUCAAGAUUCUCGCGCUAAUUCAAAAAGUAAACACUAUCUAAGGUAGCAAUUAUUUUUUUGUUUGAAAUCUAAAUGGAUCUGGAUUUUUUUAAAGUCUAAAUGAGUUUGAAUACGAAAAUCUAAAUGACAUAUUUUUUUUUUAAUAUCUGAAUAUAAGUGACAUCUUGUUUGUUUUUAUAAUAAAAAAAAAAUCUUAAACUUGGUUAUUUAACAUUUAUGUCCUUGUAAAUUAAAACAAAAAAGAGAAUUAGAUUUGUAAUUUAGGAAAUAAGUUAUUUUACAGAGAUAUUUUUGGAAUAUAAUAUUUAUUUUUCGUUCAGAUAUGUUUCUAUUUACAUAAAAAUCACAAAAAUUCACUUUUUCUAUUCAGAUAUAAAUAUUUGAAAAUCACACAUAAGUUAAAAAAAAAAUAUAUGUUAAAAACAGUCUAAAAUUAAUAAAAUUUCAGACUUCAGACAUUUAACAAACAACCUUUAAAUAUAUAUAUGGGAUAUGAGUUCACUUUUCUUUUUUUUUUAUAUGUAGCUUUUUUUGAAGUAAUUAUACACCGACCAUGUGAUUUUUUAGAUUUUUUAAAAAUAUACAGUUUUUUCUUUACAAAAUCCUACCAGACAUUAACAAUGUUUUUUACUAGUCCUCAGUCGCGUUAACAGAGUUAAAAGGAUAAAUAGAAUAUUGGUUAAAUAACCUUUUUACCCUAAACAUAAAAUGAUUGUUUUGUCCCAAAUAAACAAUUAAACAUUAAAUAAGCAUUUUACUCUUCAAUAUUAAAUAAGCAUUUUACCCUAUUUCAGUACCAAAAAGAAAAUCAUAUUUUAUAUAUAUUUUUUAAAAUAAAAUUUUCUUCUUCUUUUAUUCUGCUUCGUUCUUCUCAGCUUCUUCUUCGUUUUUCUUCUUUGCUGCUGGUUUUGAAUGUGAAAGCAGCAGCAGCAUCGGCUUCAGCUCCGCAACAGGUGGCAGAAGCGUCAGCUCGACGCUGCCUCGUUGAACCCCAGCAUCCGCCGCUACUUCUAUUUUUUGAGGGUUUGGUCUUCUUGUUUUAAAUUUUCAUGGGUUAUUUGAGCAUUUUGUGUUUCUAAAUUUGAUUGUUAUGAUUUUGUUUUAUAAAUUUGGGUUAAUGUUUAAUGCUUGUGAUCUUCUAGCCAAAAGCUAAACUUUGUGAAGAAGUUCGAAAAUUAGGAUAUAGGAGCAGAAAUUGGGUCUUAUAAAUUGGGAUUUUUGACUGCACGAAACUGAACUUAGUGAAGAAAUUUGGUUGUUUGAUUGAACGGGGAUUAGAUUUCUUACUUUCUCAGUUCAAAGUUGUCCAAGAUGAUUAUGGAUCAAGGUUCUGGGGGUUUUUGUAUUAUGGAAGUAGAGCUGGCAAAAUUUGACAUGACCCGAUUACCCGACACGAACACGAUACCAAUAAAUGGGUAUGAGUCGUCGAAUUUAACACGAUUAUUAAAUGGGUCGGGUCCGGAUCAACACGAUUUUUUUUCGUGUCGGGUUAGGGUUAAAAUUCUUGACCCAUUUACCCGAUCAAUGACCCGAUUAUAUUUUAUAUUUUAAAAUAAUUUACAGAUUCUUAUCAUCAAAACUCAAAUAUUAGGAUUUUUUUUUAUUCUUUAAAAGGAUGAAUAUAGACACAAUAUUUUAUUUAUAAAAUUUUAAAUACAUUUAGAGCUUUAAUAGUGUAAAUGUAUAAAAUAUUGGUAGACAUUUAUAUUUUAUAAUAUUGAUAUAUAAUAUUAUUUACAUAUAUAUAAUUAAAACCUCAAUGUGUGUGUAAUAUUUUAGUAGAUAUGUAUAUUUUAUAAUAUUGAUAAAUUAUGUAUGUAUGUAUGGAUGUAUGUAUGUAUGUGCAUACAUAUGUAUGACAAAGUGUAAAUAUUUGAUGUAACUUUUGUUUAAUAUAUAGAUAUUAAGCGGGUUAUUGGGUAACCCGAUUAUUUUUCCGUGUCAGGUUUGGGUCUCAAUAUUUUGACACGAUUAUUAAAUGGGUCGGGUUUGGGUCGACCUAAAUUUGACACGACACGAAGCUGACACGACACGAACACGACCCGAUGACCCGUUUUGCCAGCUCUACUUGUUAUGGACUUAGUUAUGGUGCAACUGUAGUACCAUACUAUAAUUACACCUAAUCAUUGGAUCCAGUUACUUAAUUAUUAAAUUUCUCAUCAUAAUAUAAUCCAAUAACUUGGUGUAACUGUGGUAUAGUACCAUAGUUGUACCAUAGUUGGACCCUCUUAUUCUAUGAGCAGUGCUAGCGUCAGUCGCCUUUGGGAGCGACUGACGCGCAGUCGCUGCUUCUAAGGGGGCCAAGUGUCCUUGUCUUUUUUGUGCUUUAUUAAAUGUGUUUGUUAUUAUUUUAGUUUUUACUUGUAGCAAGGAUUAUCAAUCAUAAUCCUUGUAACUAAAGUUAGUUAGUGUGAGUGAUUUGGUAUUCUCAUAUUUUAAGAGAAGUCAGGACUUCAAGCCCCGCUCUCGUAUGAAGUCACCACUUUGGCAAGCAUUUUACCCUUUACGAGCCGACCCGGUGCAAGCAAAAUUAGUCUGGAUUGUGGUUCGGGCUUAAAGGUGCCUCCCACACUUGGAGCCCAUUCAGGUCCACCUCGUGGUUCAAGCCAAAAAAAAAAAAAAUCAAUCAUAAUCCUUGUAACAGUUAUAAUUUUAUUUUUACCCGUACAAUUUUGAUGAAAAAAGUCUUUUGCCCUGACAAUAGUCUUUAUUUUUUAUGCUUAAUUCUUAUAUUAUCAUUUCUUUCAAUUUUUUUGAAAAAAUAAUAUUUAUUUAAGAAUUUAAAUCGACUGCAACAUUUGUUUAAUAUGACAAUAACAACUUUACAUAAUUUUUUUCACUCCAAAUUUUAUUUCUCUGUUAUAAGAUUUAAAAAUGAAACACCAAUGCACCAUUAUUAUUUUUCAACUUCUUAUUUUAACCCCUCUCUUUUAUUAUGAUAUUUACAAAUAAUUUAAAAUUAAUAUGUCCUCUUAAUUAUCAGUGGAGUGAUUCAACGUAUUUCGAACUUAAAUUUUGAUUUAAAUAGUCAAACUACUUCGUAUAAUUGGGUUAGGGUUAAAAUUCUUGACCCAUUUACCCAAUUAAUGACCCGAUUAUAUUUUUUAUUUUAAAAUAAUUUGCUGAUUCUUGUCAUCAAAACUCAAAUAUUAGAGAUGAUUUUUUUUAUUCUUUAAAAGGAUGAAUAUAGACACAAUAUUUUAUUUAUAAAAUUUUAAAUACAUUUAGAGCUUUAAUAGUGUAAAUGUAUAAAAUAUUGGUAGACAUGUAUAUUUUAUAAUAUUGAUAUAUAAUAUUAUUUACAUAUAUAUAAUUAAAACCUCAAUAGUGUGUGUAAUAUUUUAGUAGAUAUGUAUAUUUUAUAAUAUUGAUAAAUUAUGUAUGUAUGUAUGGAUGUAUGUAUGUAUGUGCAUACAUAUGUAUGACAAAGUGUAAAUAUUUGAUGUAACUUUUGUUUAAUAUAUAGAUAUUAAGCGGGUUAUUGGGUAACCCGAUUAUUUUUCCGUGUCGGGUUUGGGUCUCAAUAUUUUGACACGAUUAUUAAAUGGGUCGGAUUUAGGUCGACCUAAAUUUGACACGACACGAACACGACCCAAUGACCCGUUUUGCCAGCUCUAUCUGGAAGUGGGAGCCAAUAGUUUUUAUUUUGAAAGAGAAAAAUAAAUAUAAAAUCUUUUUAGAAUAAUGAAUUGACAUUUAUGCCCUUUCCAUUGUUAAAUGAGUGAAACGACUUGACUUCUUGGCUGUUCCAGUAAAAUGAUAAAUUUACUUCUAUGAUUUCAGCAAGAUAAUUGCUUUUUUUCCCAACAAAGUUAAGAAAUGAUAAAUUUUAUAAACAAGUGAAUUACUUUAAAGAAACAAAAUAUUUGUGUAUGUAAGGGUCUACUUGUCUCCCACAUUUAGUAUAAAAUAAGGUUGACCUUCGAACUAUGUUAGAAUAGCAUACUUAAUUGAGUAGAGUUAAUUUAUAAUUUUUAUCCCUUAUAAAAUAUGGGCUCUCGAAUAUUUAUGAGAGUUAUGCAUCUGGACAAGUGCUUGUAAAUAUUAGUAAUUAUUAUCAGUUUGUCUGAUUGUAUGAUGAUCUACUGAAAUAUUAAUGCUAAAAAAAAGAGAGAGAGAGAGAAUUUAGAUUGUAAUAUAUCUGUAAAUAAAAAAAAAAGUGCUCUUUGAGAAAAAUCUACUUUUAUUUCAACUUCUUUUAUCAUAUAUAUAACGACCGUUGAAAUACAUCCAUAUAAAAAAAUAACGAAUAAGCAGCAAUAUUCUAGUUAAAAAAAAAAAAAAAACGGAGCAAUUUUCAACCAAGAUUUUUUUUUUUUUUAGUAACAUGUGUCGCUCAGUGAAAUUUUUGUUUUAUAAAUAGGCCUUGGACGUAAGGUAUACCCACUUGAGUUGCAUAAUAGCAAUCCGGAGUCUAUUUUGCAAGUUAAAGUCAUUUUAACUCCUUCAUUGUCUUAAUUCCCACGGUUAUACAUUUUGGAGCUGCGUAUUGAAUCACACGUGUGAAACAAAAGUAAAUUCUUCCAGGUACCCUUCUUCUUCUUCUUCUUCCUUCUCUUCUCUUCUUUUUUUUUCCUCUGUUAUUUUUAAUUUUUCAUUGUUCUAUCUGGUUAGUGCAACUCUUAUAUAAAGGAGGCAAAAUCUUUAAACUUUAACUGUUUUCCUUUUUCCUUUUCUUUUUUGGCCUCUUUUUUGUUGACUAAUGUGUGAAAUUUUCUUUUAUGAUCAUGAUUUUUGCUCUACCAUUACCAGCAUCCUUGUUUUUUAUUAUGUAGUCAUCUACUCACCUAAUCCUAGCUAUUUUAAAAUAUUUCCACUAAUUAAAAUUUAAAAUCAUCCAAGAUAUUAUAUGGACAUGCAAGGUAUUCUUAAUUUUAAAAAUCGAUGCAUGUCCUCUUAACAUUUUUUUUAUUUCAAAAUUAGUGCUAAUUGCUAUUCACUAUCAUUAAUUCUUUUGGCCAUUGAAAGCUGGGACAAAAUCUUGACAGUUGUUUGGGUGGUGUUUUUUUUCUCUUUAUUUCUUUAUUUUUCUUUUGCUUAGUAUGUUAUUUUUAUUUUUUAUUUUCUUUACCGAAAUGUGUCAAUUUUGGGACUCUGAAUUUAUAGAUUUAUAACACAAUCCAGAAGACUACUGAGUAUAGUUUAGAAUCUGUACUAAUAGGACUCUAAAAGCUUAAUUUAUUGGGGGUAAAAUUAUAAUAAAAAUUAAAAAUUCAUAAAACUAACUCAUAUGUCAAAUUUCUUUAUAAAUUUUCCCCCACUCAAACAAAAUUUCCUAAAAUAUUAAUUUUAUGAAAGUAAAGGAAUUUUCUUAUUGAGCGAGGUCAACUGCUGGCACUGAUGUCUCUGUACAUUUAUCCCUGGAGUUGGACUAUUGACACCACUCUAUAAUUCUUAUAAAACCCCUUACCUGUCACAAUUAUAUUAAAGGAAUAAUAAAUCUGACAAACCCCUAUAUUCUCUCUCUCUAAUUCUGUACAACCACAUAACCAAUUACUAUUUUGGAGUUGGGUAAGUUACGGAUCAUGUAACUUACAGAUCCAGUGGCUGCCAACUGCCAUUGCUUGUAUUUCAAGGCCUUUUCUCUCUCCUCAGGACACAUGGCUGCCAGCAAUUGGGUGUGUAUGUUACGUAAUCCGUAACAUAGCAAGCUCUUAUUAUUUUUCAUAAUUUUUAUUUCCCUACAAACGCUUUGCAUUCUAAUCAACGUGAUUCUGCCUCAUCCAUAUUUCAAUUUCAUGUAGAAAUUUAAUCAAUAAAUUUUUUUUCUUAUUAUUUUCUCUCUUUAUUUUAAAAAAAUGAAAAUUAGCUAUUUGAGGCCACUUCUAAUCUAUUUACUUCAAAUAUACAUGAUUUUUUUAGUUAAACAUAUGUGAUUUAUUCAUUCGAUAUUUUUCAUACCAAAAAAUUCUAAUUGGAGUUGAACUUGGAAGAAAUUGAAAAAAAGAAAAGAAAAAUAUAUUUUAGGAAUUAAAAUAAGUCCUGACAAAAAGGAAGUUACCAGGGAGCUAAUAGCCCCACUCUUACCCCUGAAUGGGGAGUGUAGCCGGUAUCCCACAUAUAGCCAUAUAUAUCCGAUUCUAUCUUCAUUUUCUAAAAUGAGACUACAAAAUGCUUCUGUGGGUUAAAAAAUUGUUUAAACCACCCAAAAUAAGGGAAACUUUUGAAUAAUAAAAUCCAAAUUAAUAAAUAUCAUGAAAUUCAUUACUUUCUUUGAUUUUUUUUUCUAAAUUUUCUUUCAAAUAAGCACCUUAAUAUAUGCUACAAUCGAAAGACUCUGAAAUAAGCACCUUAAUAUAUGCUACAAUCGAAAGACUCUCAAUACUCGUGCAUAAUAAAAGAUUUAUUUUGAACAUUUGAACACAUUGAAAGUUUGGAAAUACCAAUGACACUACGUACACAACGUUAGCUCCAGACAAUCAGAAAUUCAUUUGUAAAAUAGCAGCAAUUAUAAUUGUGUCUUUUAAGCCCCAUGAGCUUGAUUGAAUGGUUAGUUUUCAAAUAGCUGUAUUUAGCUAGCCACCCGAAUUUAAAUUUUGAAGGAGAUAAAGGAUUAAAAAAUUAAUUUAAGUUUUAUCUAUCCUUUACUUUUUUUUUUUUUGGGCAAAAUAUUAGUGUCGUUUAAAUGUUAAUUUAGUAACUUAGUGACACAUCUAAGGAUCUUGUCAUUGUAUGGACUAAGAAGGGUUGUGGUUCUGGAAAUGAUGUUAUAGUUAUUCAAGCUUACUUGUGUGAGAUUCGGUCACUUUGCUAUGAAUACUAAUUUUAUCUUCCUAAACUUUGAAUGUAGACUAAGAUAUCAGAAAGUGCUGCUCCUUCAGGGAGCUCAGGAUGUGCGUCGGAGAUUGAUCAUCUCUUCUCUUCUAUGGCACAACUUUUAGAAGAACAUGCCUCAAUUCAUAAGGCACAUGUGAAACAACAAGAAUCCACUCUUGCAGCACAGCAAAAGCUUAUGGAACAAGAAAAAACUAUGAUAAAAAAAAUGGAACAAAUUGCCUGCGGUCCUGGUUUUAUGAAAAAGGACGAGCGCAAGGAAAAUGAUGAAAAGCCUGUACCUCAAGGUGAACGGUUGCCUGGUAUGCUAGUUAUGCUAUUUCGUUGUACUUUUAUUUUUUAUUCAUAUUCAUUUGCUAAUAGCAAAUAAAUCACCUCCCCACCCAUAUGAGUAGGGUUUAAACAACAAACCACUUGUUUUCAAGAAGACUUUACCGCCUCAAUUAGAUAACACCCACUAGUGGCCUUCAAUUUACAAAAGUUAAAAUGGGAAGAUAUAAAGGAGAGAUAUAGUUUAUUGAAUAAAAUAUAAUGAAUAACAAAGUUUAAAUUGUAAUGAUUAGACAACUUUUUUUUUUUUUGUAAAGAAAAAAGUACAUUUUGAAAUAAUAGUUUAUAAAAUUGUGAUAUAAAAUUUAUAUACUAGUUAAUACGACAGAAAUUGACAUUUUCUUAUAAGAUCGUGUGAUAAUUAAUUAUUAAAUGAGAGAGAAUAAAAUUGAGAAGGGUGUGAUAAAAUAAAUAGCCUAGUGUCUUCAUUAGAGGCUUUUUUCCCAAUAUAUAUACAAUUACAGUGAGUGGUAAUUACAACAAGUGCAAGAUUAUAGCCUAUGAGUCUAUAACUAUAUAUGUAAAGACAUGUCCAAGUAACAAAAGUAUUACAGUACUGUAACCAAAGGAGUAUCUCUAAUAUGCGUUAUCAAAUCUGACCCAAAUAGUAAAUUUAUUAUAUAUAUUUGUAUCGUGCGACAUCAAUGAGGAUAAUGCCAACUGUUUACAAUGUAUCAAUAUUUUAGUGACAAAAAAUCCAUAAAAUAAGUUACUAAGGACAAAAAACACCUAAUGAAAUAAGGGGUGUUUGACACACUGUAUUGUAUUAUAGUAUAUUGCAUUAUUUUAAUGUUGGUGUAUUGUAUUGGUACUAUAUUAUAAUAAUUGUACAUUGUAUUGUAUUGAUUUUUUGUGAUUAAUUAAAAUUAAAAUUUAUAUUAUAUUAAUAUAUUUAAAGAAAUAAAUUAUUUAUUAUUAAUUUAUAUUAAUAAUUAUAAUCCCUUACAAAUUUGCUCCAAACAUAUAGUUAGUAUUAUUUUAAUGUGAAUAAUGUUUUAAUACCGCAUAAAUAAUCUUAUAAUACCACAUAAUACAAUGUAACAAACAUGCCCUAAGUUAUCUAUUUCCAGGUUACCGAUAUAAGAAUACUUUGAAUGGUGCUAACAUUAGUUGCGAACAUGUAGCAAAAGUGAAGUUUCAUCCGCUAUUAAUUUUAUAGAUUUUGUCUCUAUAGUCUAUAUUUGAUAUUCCAACAGAAUUUCUCUAUCAUCCGUACCACAUCGUUAACUUUAUUGAACACAAAUCUCGUUCGUUCGUUUUAUCUUAAAUUGACAGCAGAAACGAUAACUAGACAAUUGAAAUUGUACCGAGCUGCACUAAAUGGCGACUGGGCUGUGGCUAAAGAUAUUUACGACAAAGAUGAGGGUGAAAUUAGAGUUGGGAUCACAAAACAUGGAGACACUGCUCUUCACGUUGCAGCUCAAGCAAAUCGUAUUGAUUUUGUGAAGGAACUUGUGAAAAUGAUGAAGACUGAGGAUAUAGCUAAGCCCAAUAAGCUUAAAUGUACGGCUCUUUUCUACGCGGCUGGAUCUGGAAUGGUGGAAAUUGUUGAAGAGAUGAUGAAGGGUAAUAAAGACAUAGCGAUGGCCCCGGAUAGAGAGGGGACGCUGCCAAUUGUGAGGGCUGCAUCGUUAGGCAAAGAAGAAAUGGUAGUGUUCCUUUACGAACAAACUAAAGAUUUCUUGACAGAUGAUGAUUGCAUUGAGUUACUUGUCAAGUUGAUAGAAACCGAUUCGUAUGGUAAGCACUCUUUUUUAUUAUCUUUGUGCAAAUUGCUCUCCUUAUUAAUUUGAUAUCAUUUGACUUAAACAUAUCCAGCUAUAAUUAAAUGAAAUCAUUAACAAUACAUGGAAAAUAUUGACAAGCAUUGUGAUUGUCCAACUCACAGUCAAAUUCAUGAACCCCUGUUUUUAAAUUGCGCCAAAGAUUGUUUGAUGCAGUACUGAUUCAAUGUGAACAUGUUUUUCUUAGCUGUUGCAUUACGGUUGCUUAAAGAUCGCCCUCAGUUAGCAACAAAACGCGAUAGAAAUGAAGAGACAGCACUGCACGUUUUGGCCCGAAAGAAUCUGACGUCUUCUAAUCAAAAUCCGUGCGGAGCUUUUCAAAGAUACUUCAAUCUUGGUUAGUCCCCUCCCUGAAAUCUAAAACUACUCUUUUACAAUCUUUGUUAUAUAUUCUGCUAGUUUGGGUUUUACAAUCGAAAAAUUUCAGGUGCCAAAAAUAGGAAAAAUAAGCAAGCACUGAAAUUAGUGGAAAGCCUUUGGGAACAGGUUAUAUUGUUGAGGGAACCGGAUAUUUCGAAACUAAUUAAAGAACCUACGCGAAUAAUAUUUGAUGCGGCAAAUCACGGAAACGUCCAGUUUCUAUCAAUACUUAUUCGUGAAUAUCCUGAUCUGAUGUGGAAAUGCGAUGAAAAUCGAUAUACCAUAUUUCAUAUUGCUGUUUCAAAUCGCCAGGUGGAACUCUUCAAGUUCAUAGAUGCAGAUGAUAUGAAGGCAAUUGCGGAUUUGUUGGUUGACUCCACUGACGGUGAGGGUAACAAUAUUUUGCAUUUAGCUGGAAAAUUGGCACCGCCCGAUCGGCUGAAUGUUGUAUCAGGAUCAGCUCUUCAAAUGCAGCGAGAGUUAUUGUGGUUUCAGGUGAAAUAUUUAAUCCGCCUUAUGCAUAGACAUUACUCUUUCUUAACAAUAAUAUUGAAACGAAAAAGUAUUCAUUUGAGAUAUACACACGCGCGCGCACAACGAAUGAAACAUUGAAUACUUCUAUACAUACAAAUUGUGACAUCACCAACGAAAGAGAAUCUGAGAUAAAUUAUAAAAUUUAGAUUCUUGUAACUAAGACUACAAUCGGAUGAAUAUAUGCAAAGAUUGUUUAAAUGUCUAGUAUUACUCCUUCUCAUCAUCUAACUUAGUUUAUGUCAUAUACUUCUUAAUUUUGUUAUUCCAUUUUCUUAAUUCCAGUAGUUUCGUUUUAUGGCAAGAGGCUUGGGUUGGAUGACAUUUUAUUUUAUUUUUUGGUAGUAGUAAUGCGUGAAACUAUAUAUUUUGUAGUUCUAUGGGAUGGCCUGAUAUAUAGAUUUGAACUUUAAAAAAAAAAAAAUCAUAUUACAAUAUAAACUGAUUUUUUUAUUAAAAAAGAAAUUUUACAGUCAAGGUCUACUAAGAUCUAAAUUCAUAAAAUUCUGGUUCAACUUAGUCUAAUGAUUGACUAUAUGUAUGUAUAGGGUCGUUCUUUUCUGCGGAUGUUUGUACGAAAUAAGAUACGAAUUUAGUAUUUUAUGCCAUCAUUAAACAGUUUAUAAUAGGAGAAAUUUAUUCUACUAGAUCAUAAAAUGCCGAAUCCAUACUUUAAUUCGAGCAGAUGUCAGGAGAGAUUUUUCGUAUAUGCAAUUAAGAAAUCUCAUUAAUAGUGUUAUCUUACGGCGAGGAAAAUCCAUCUUAGACUUUAGUUUCACGGCACGUGGUCUAUUUAAAUACUUUCUAUGAGAUAUUGCUAACUUGUAAUUCAACUCCUUCGUUGAUCACGAGAUGUUUCAACACCCUAACUGUAGGCAGUGAAGAAGGUUGUUCCACGAAAGUUAGCUGAAGCUAAAAACAAAAAAGGGCUUACCCCUAGAGCUUUAUUUUCCGAGCAACACAGAGACUUGAAGGAGAAAGGGGAGAAAUGGAUGAAGGAUACUGCAUCAUCAUGUAUGAUUGUGGCAACACUUAUCGCUACUGUAGUUUUCGCCGCAGCUUUAACAGUACCAGGAGGCAACAAAGAAGACACAGGGCUGCCUUUUUUCCUUCAUAAUGUUUCCUUCAAGAUUUUUGCUGUGUCAAAUGUGAUAUCGCUGGUAGCCUCCACUCUCUCAAUAGUGGUUUUUUUAUCCCUUGUCACUCCGCGUUAUGCAGAAAAAGAUUUCCUUAGUUUGUUGCCAAGAAAGCUGUAUGUUGGACUUGGAACACUUUUCAUAGCAAUAGCAGCAAUGAUGGUGGUGUUUUCUGCAACAAGUUUCAUUGUCUUCACAGACGGAAGUACAUGGAUUGCUAUUCUGGUUAUUGUAGUUCCUUCCGUGCCAGCCAUCCUGUUUUUCUACCUGCAUUUCCGACUCUUUGAUGAUAUUCUACGAUCAGUCUUCGUAUCAGAUUAUCUCAUUCCGAAAUGUAAAACAAGUCUUUUCUACAAAGAAGGGGAAACAAAAGUUAAACAACAGAAGAAGACCAAGCAGCUCAAUGGAAAUUUCACAAUUCAGUGCGCAUGUAGCACAAAUGUUUAAGUUUGAAUAAGUGGGGUUGUCGCUGGGGCUUCAGAUUCUGAGUUCUUCUGGUGGUCCGGUGAUCCUCUGUCAGUAAUCUCUUCCGCCUUCGGGGAUUAAUGACGCUCAAGUUUUUAUACUUUCUAUUUUGCAUGCAUUUUCGUUUUUGUCAGGUCCUUGUUUAAGUUUGCUUCGUGUACUUAGCUGUACCAUGCAUCUGUUUAGUUUUACUUUUAAGGUAAGCCUGAUUGUAUUCCCCUUACGUGUCAUUUUGCCUUUUUCAUUAAUAAAAUUUCCUCUGGUGCCGCCGAGCGGUUUAUUUGUUUUGUUUUGUUUCAUUUUUUUAUUUUUUUUAUUUAAGUUCGCCAAAAUUGUGGGAGAAGGACUAACGGACAUGGGAAAAGUUUUUGGUGAUUUCUUUCUAUCAUGUGUAUACUUCAAUCAAUCGUAAUAAUAUGUAUAAAUAUAUAAUAAAUAAUGAAUGCAUAAAGAAUAAUGUUUCUAAAAUAUUAUAAACCUUCUCACGAACAUCUAAUUGCCAAACAAAUCUUUGAAGUUUGAACAAUAUAACCAAAUUAGUUAAAGAGUCAAUUUAAAAAUCCCAUUUUAAAAAGAGUCAAUUUAAAAAUCCCAUUUUAAGCGUAAAAUAUUGACCAAUAAGAGAAUUGGUCCACAAAAAUUUUGGACAAGAGUAAUGCUAUAUAUCCUUAAUUUUUAUUCAAAUAAUUUAUUCUAAAUGAUAUGCCUUUCAUUAAUUAGAUGAUAAGAUAACAUAUAUAAUUGAUUUACUUAGAUCUUGUAAAUAAAACAUAUCACAUAUUACAUCAUUUGAAAUAAAUUUUGAGAUAAAAAUUUGAGAAAUAUAUCAUUACUCUUUGGACAUUCUAUUGCAACAAUCGUAAGACAUUAAUCAUAUUUAGAAUUGAGGUGUUAUAAUUUUUAAAUUAUAGUUUCUGUAAAAAAAAAAACUAUAACUAUAAAAUAAAAAUAAAUAAUAUAUAGUAAAUAUAGUUUUUAAAUAAUAAUUUUGACAACAUUAUUAAAAAUACAAUACGUUUUUUGUCAUAUAAAUGAAAAAUCAUAUCAACAUAUCUUUCAAGAUACAACAACUAAUGUUUACCAAAUACUUUAAUAUUGUAUCUUAAAAACUACAGCUACUCAAUCUCAAUUCCAACCAGAGCUAUCAUCUCAUUUCAAUUAGUUAGAGAGUGAUUUUUAUAAAUAAUUGUCCAAAUUCAAUUUUAUUUUAAGUGAAAUAGAGAGAAUUUUAAGACAGCAAAAUGUUUUUUAUAAACAAAAUAGUGCACUCCUAUAUAAUUUUUUAUUUAAAAAGAAAAAUUAAUUGUAUAUAUGUUUGACUCUUUAAUGAUCAAAUAAUUCAAAAUUUGUGAUAAUUAAAAAGAAAAAUAAUUAAUCGAAAUUUGAAUUUGCACGUCGCAACAAUGUUUACGUGCGGGGUUUUAACUAUCUCACUAUGUGAAAUGCGCCCAUUCGAUCACUUCCCUCCUUAUGUGUAGAACUUUCCACUUUAGCUCUCUGUAUGAAUUAGAAAUAUAAUUUUAAGUUAUUUUUUUUUGUAAAUCUUUCAAGAUUAAACUUUUUUUUUUAAAUUGAAUUUAGUGGAUCUUUCAAUUUCAUCUCCUUCUCUUUUUCGCUCUCCAUCUCCAUAUACAUCUCGCUUCAACUUUAGAAGCAAAAUAAUGAAUCCAAUUUUUCAUAAAUUCAAUUUCAAUUCCACAAACUCCAAAAUAAAGCUGUUGGUUUCGUGCCAAAAUCGACCGGUGGUGGUGACAAUUCGUGCUUCUAAUAAAAAAGUCCAUAAUGACGAUUUUGUCCUCAAGGAUGUCCCUUCCCGAUUUACCGGUGAUUCACUUUUCUUUCUUCUUCUUAUUGUUUGACUCUGUUGAGGAAUGGGAAACAAUAGUUUGCUUCUUAGAAGACCAAGAAAUAAUGUUGUUUCCUAAGAAUACACAAUACCCUCCAGUGGACUUCCGAUCAUCUGGAUCAGCUGCCCAAUCAGCAUCAGAAAAUGCUAUUAAAGUCACAGAGCCUGAAUUGAAGAAUUGAAUGCCAAAGUGUGAAGUAGAUUGUAGAUAUUGAAGAAACCUUUUACAAGCUUGCUAGUGGGAGAUGGUUGGAUGAGCCAGGAACUGAUUGAGCUUGUUUACAGUGUAAGCUAUGUCAGGUCUUAUCAGCAACACAUAUUGAAGAGAUCCCACAAUACUUCUGUAUAAUUAGGGAUUAUCAAAAGCUGCACCACUGUCCUUUUUAAGCUUAUCACAUGGACUCAUAUGAGUAUUAAAACCUUUGCUAUCAAGCAUAUUUGCUUUUCUAAGUAUAUCACCAAUGUAUUUGGUCUGAGAUAGAUGCAAUCCCUGAACAGAAGGUGUCACUUCAAUGCCAAGAAAGUAGUUAAACUCUCCCAGAUCUUUGAGUGCAAAUUCUGAAUGUAGAUAUUGAAUGACAGCCUCAAUAUGUUGAGAAUUAGAACCAGUAACUAAUAUGUCAUCAACAUAUAUAAAAAUGAGCACAAUAUCAUGUCCAAUAUGUUGAAUGAACAUAGAUGUAUAAGAUUUUGAAGAUUGAAAUCCCUUAUUGAGUAAAGAACCUUUCAACCUCUCAUACCAAGCUCUAGGAGCUUGUUUGAGUCCAUAUAAGGCUUUGUUUAAUUUGAAAACAUAAUAUGGAUGUACAGAGUCUAUAAAACCUUGUGGCUGAUGCAUGAACACAUCUUCUUCGAGCAUACCAUUUAGAAAUGCAUUGUUGACAUCCAGCUGUCUAAUCUGCCAAUGAUGCAUCACUGCUAGACUUAAUACAACUCUGAUUGUGCAAGGUUUCACAACUGGGCUGAAGGUUUCAAAGAAAUACACCCCUUGUGUUUGAUGAUAACCCUUGGCAACCAACCUAGCUUUGUACUUAGAAAUGUUGUCAUUAAGGUUAUACUUCACCCUUUAUACCCACUUAUUUCCAACUAUUUUAGCAGCACUUUCAGGGGGUACUAAAGUCCAGGUUUGGUUUCUUUGCAAUGCAUCAAAUUCUUCCUUCAUAGCAUGAAAUCACUUAGGGUCUUGCAAGGCACUUUUAACACUGGUUGGUUUAAGAUUCUCAGUAGCUGCUAGAUAGGAUUUGGGUUUGAAAAUACCAGUUUUAGCUCUAGUAAUCAUUGGGUGAGAUGGUAAUGAAGAUGGGUGAGUUGAUUCAGCUAAAGGAUGAGAAUAAGAAGAAUAAGAAGUUUGUACUGAAUUAGAACUUGAUGGAGGAGACAUUGCAUGAUGAAGAUUAUUAGAUAGUGACUCUACAUUGCUACUGUCAACAUGAGUAGAACUUUGAAGGAAAUAAAAUUGUGCUGGUGAAGAUAAGAUAUCAACAUUUGAGACUUUUAAAAUAGUGUUUGAGAAACAAUUUUUUGUAAGGAAACUCAGUUUCAUUGAAGACAACAUGCCUAGCAACAAACACUUUACCAGAGGGAUCUAAACACUUAUAACCUUUAUGAAGUGGGCAGUAACCAAUGAAAAUGCACUUUUGAGUGUGAAAGUUAAGUUUAUGCUGGUUAUAAGGUUUGAGAAAUGGAAAACAUGAGCAACCAAAAACUUUAGGAAAUUGAUAGUCAGGUAGUUGAUUGUAGAGUUUUUGAAAUGGAAAUAGAUUGUUUAGAACUGAUGUGGGCAUCCUGUUGAUUAGGAAAGAGGCAGUAUGAAAGGCUUCCCACCAAAACGAAAGAGGUAACUGUGAUUAAGCGAGAAGUGUUAAGCUUGUUUCAACAAUGUGCUGUGUUUCCUCUCAACAACACCAUUUUAAUGGUGUGUGUAUGGACAACUAUGUCUAAAACAUAUACCCUCUUGUUGAAGAAAAGUUUUAAAGGCUAUAAACUCACCCCCAUAUCUGACUGCAGUGUUUUGACAAGCAAAGAAAAUUAUUUUUCAACAAGUUUGAAGUGUUUAAAGGUUUCUAAGGCUUUCGACUUUAGUGUGAGAGGAAGAAUCCAAGAAUAUCUUGUGAAAUCAUCCACAAAUGAGAUAUAAUAUAUGUAUCAAUUCAUUGAAUAUUCAGGAGAUGGUCCCCAUAAAUCUAUAUAUAGAAGCUCAAGUGGUGCUUUUGUUUUAAUGGUAGUAACAGAAAAAUGAAGUUGAUGCAUUUUGCCAUAUUGACAAGCAUCAUAGAAACUAAUGAAUUGAUUCGAGAGACAAUGUGUGGGAAGACUUUUAAUAAUUGUUUGCAAAGCAUGUUUAUUGGGGUGACCAUAUCUAUUAUGCAACAACUGAAUUGAUAUUUUUCCAGUUCUAGAAGAAUUUUCAGGAACAGAACAUGAAAAGGCUUCAGAAGUAUUUACAUUGUUCAACUUUGACACGUGAUUAUUUGACUCUUGUAGAGAGUUUACAACUUUAUUAUCAAGACAAAAUGACAACAUGGAACUUGGUUUAGAAAGAUUUGAAUUGGAAUCUACAGAAUGAAGAGAUGAGAUAUCAAGUGACAGUAGCUUCUAAAGACCACCUUCAACAAUCCCUUGUGCCGACAAGGUUCCCUCAUUCUUGUCCUUAAUAAAGCACAUGGUAGAAAAAAAUUCAAUGAUUAUGUUAUUAUCCAAGAGAAGUUUAGAUAUACUGAUGAGAUUUUUGGUUAUUUUAGGAAUACACAAAGUAUUGGUUAAGGAUAAGUGUGUGCUAAAAGAAGUAGAAAGAUAAGUGCAACCAAUACAUGUGAUAGUGACACCUUGACCAUUUCCAACAAACAACAGUUGAGUGCCAUUAUAAGGGCUACCUUCAACUAGAUUUUGCACAUUGUUGGUGAGAUGAUAAGUGGCUCCACUCACUACUACAAAAAUGAACAUAGAUGACGUUUAAAUUAAUAUUAUGAUGACGAAGUAAAAUUAGUCAUCUUUGUAACAGUCAUCUAAAACGAGGUACAAAAGAUGACGCGUAAAGAGAGUCAUCUAAUAAGUAUCAUAGAUGACUCAUUUCUCAAAAAGCAGUCGUCUAAUGUUGUUAUAAUUUUCUACGCAAUGGUGUCCAAUAUGCACAUAGGUGACUUACUUUUCAAAAAAUCAGUCAUCUAUUAUUAUUAUUAUUAUUAUUAUUAUUAUUAUUAUUAUUAUUAUUAUUAUUAUUAUUAUUAUUAUUAUUAUUAUUAUUAUUAUUAUUAUUAUUAUUAUUAUUAUUAUUAUUAUUAUUAUUAUUAUUAUUAUUAUUAUUAUUAUUAUUAUUAUUAUUAUUAUUAUUAUUAUUAUUAUUAUUAUUAUUAUUAUUAUUAUUAUUAUUAUUAUUAUUAUUAUUAUUAUUAUUAUUAUUAUUAUUAUUAUUAUUAUUAUUAUUAUUAUUAUUAUUAUUAUUAUUAUUAUUAUUAUUAUUAUUAUUAUUAUUAUUAUUAUUAUUAUUAUUAUUAUUAUUAUUAUUAUUAUUAUUAUUAUUAUUAUUAUUAUUAUUAUUAUUAUUAUUAUUAUUAUUAUUAUUAUUAUUAUUAUUAUUAUUAUUAUUAUUAUUAUUAUUAUUAUUAUUAUUAUUAUUAUUAUUAUUAUUAUUAUUAUUAUUAUUAUUAUUAUUAUUAUUAUUAUUAUUAUUAUUAUUAUUAUUAUUAUUAUUAUUAUUAUUAUUAUUAUUAUUAUUAUUAUUAUUAUUAUUAUUAUUAUUAUUAUUAUUAUUAUUAUUAUUAUUAUUAUUAUUAUUAUUAUUAUUAUUAUUAUUAUUAUUAUUAUUAUUAUUAUUAUUAUUAUUAUUAUUAUUAUUAUUAUUAUUAUUAUUAUUAUUAUUAUUAUUAUUAUUAUUAUUAUUAUUAUUAUUAUUAUUAUUAUUAUUAUUAUUAUUAUUAUUAUUAUUAUUAUUAUUAUUAUUAUUAUUAUUAUUAUUAUUAUUAUUAUUAUUAUUAUUAUUAUUAUUAUUAUUAUUAUUAUUAUUAUUAUUAUUAUUAUUAUUAUUAUUAUUAUUAUUAUUAUUAUUAUUAUUAUUAUUAUUAUUAUUAUUAUUAUUAUUAUUAUUAUUAUUAUUAUUAUUAUUAUUAUUAUUAUUAUUAUUAUUAUUAUUAUUAUUAUUAUUAUUAUUAUUAUUAUUAUUAUUAUUAUUAUUAUUAUUAUUAUUAUUAUUAUUAUUAUUAUUAUUAUUAUUAUUAUUAUUAUUAUUAUUAUUAUUAUUAUUAUUAUUAUUAUUAUUAUUAUUAUUAUUAUUAUUAUUAUUAUUAUUAUUAUUAUUAUUAUUAUUAUUAUUAUUAUUAUUAUUAUUAUUAUUAUUAUUAUUAUUAUUAUUAUUAUUAUUAUUAUUAUUAUUAUUAUUAUUAUUAUUAUUAUUAUUAUUAUUAUUAUUAUUAUUAUUAUUAUUAUUAUUAUUAUUAUUAUUAUUAUUAUUAUUAUUAUUAUUAUUAUUAUUAUUAUUAUUAUUAUUAUUAUUAUUAUUAUUAUUAUUAUUAUUAUUAUUAUUAUUAUUAUUAUUAUUAUUAUUAUUAUUAUUAUUAUUAUUAUUAUUAUUAUUAUUAUUAUUAUUAUUAUUAUUAUUAUUAUUAUUAUUAUUAUUAUUAUUAUUAUUAUUAUUAUUAUUAUUAUUAUUAUUAUUAUUAUUAUUAUUAUUAUUAUUAUUAUUAUUAUUAUUAUUAUUAUUAUUAUUAUUAUUAUUAUUAUUAUUAUUAUUAUUAUUAUUAUUAUUAUUAUUAUUAUUAUUAUUAUUAUUAUUAUUAUUAUUAUUAUUAUUAUUAUUAUUAUUAUUAUUAUUAUUAUUAUUAUUAUUAUUAUUAUUAUUAUUAUUAUUAUUAUUAUUAUUAUUAUUAUUAUUAUUAUUAUUAUUAUUAUUAUUAUUAUUAUUAUUAUUAUUAUUAUUAUUAUUAUUAUUAUUAUUAUUAUUAUUAUUAUUAUUAUUAUUAUUAUUAUUAUUAUUAUUAUUAUUAUUAUUAUUAUUAUUAUUAUUAUUAUUAUUAUUAUUAUUAUUAUUAUUAUUAUUAUUAUUAUUAUUAUUAUUAUUAUUAUUAUUAUUAUUAUUAUUAUUAUUAUUAUUAUUAUUAUUAUUAUUAUUAUUAUUAUUAUUAUUAUUAUUAUUAUUAUUAUUAUUAUUAUUAUUAUUAUUAUUAUUAUUAUUAUUAUUAUUAUUAUUAUUAUUAUUAUUAUUAUUAUUAUUAUUAUUAUUAUUAUUAUUAUUAUUAUUAUUAUUAUUAUUAUUAUUAUUAUUAUUAUUAUUAUUAUUAUUAUUAUUAUUAUUAUUAUUAUUAUUAUUAUUAUUAUUAUUAUUAUUAUUAUUAUUAUUAUUAUUAUUAUUAUUAUUAUUAUUAUUAUUAUUAUUAUUAUUAUUAUUAUUAUUAUUAUUAUUAUUAUUAUUAUUAUUAUUAUUAUUAUUAUUAUUAUUAUUAUUAUUAUUAUUAUUAUUAUUAUUAUUAUUAUUAUUAUUAUUAUUAUUAUUAUUAUUAUUAUUAUUAUUAUUAUUAUUAUUAUUAUUAUUAUUAUUAUUAUUAUUAUUAUUAUUAUUAUUAUUAUUAUUAUUAUUAUUAUUAUUAUUAUUAUUAUUAUUAUUAUUAUUAUUAUUAUUAUUAUUAUUAUUAUUAUUAUUAUUAUUAUUAUUAUUAUUAUUAUUAUUAUUAUUAUUAUUAUUAUUAUUAUUAUUAUUAUUAUUAUUAUUAUUAUUAUUAUUAUUAUUAUUAUUAUUAUUAUUAUUAUUAUUAUUAUUAUUAUUAUUAUUAUUAUUAUUAUUAUUAUUAUUAUUAUUAUUAUUAUUAUUAUUAUUAUUAUUAUUAUUAUUAUUAUUAUUAUUAUUAUUAUUAUUAUUAUUAUUAUUAUUAUUAUUAUUAUUAUUAUUAUUAUUAUUAUUAUUAUUAUUAUUAUUAUUAUUAUUAUUAUUAUUAUUAUUAUUAUUAUUAUUAUUAUUAUUAUUAUUAUUAUUAUUAUUAUUAUUAUUAUUAUUAUUAUUAUUAUUAUUAUUAUUAUUAUUAUUAUUAUUAUUAUUAUUAUUAUUAUUAUUAUUAUUAUUAUUAUUAUUAUUAUUAUUAUUAUUAUUAUUAUUAUUAUUAUUAUUAUUAUUAUUAUUAUUAUUAUUAUUAUUAUUAUUAUUAUUAUUAUUAUUAUUAUUAUUAUUAUUAUUAUUAUUAUUAUUAUUAUUAUUAUUAUUAUUAUUAUUAUUAUUAUUAUUAUUAUUAUUAUUAUUAUUAUUAUUAUUAUUAUUAUUAUUAUUAUUAUUAUUAUUAUUAUUAUUAUUAUUAUUAUUAUUAUUAUUAUUAUUAUUAUUAUUAUUAUUAUUAUUAUUAUUAUUAUUAUUAUUAUUAUUAUUAUUAUUAUUAUUAUUAUUAUUAUUAUUAUUAUUAUUAUUAUUAUUAUUAUUAUUAUUAUUAUUAUUAUUAUUAUUAUUAUUAUUAUUAUUAUUAUUAUUAUUAUUAUUAUUAUUAUUAUUAUUAUUAUUAUUAUUAUUAUUAUUAUUAUUAUUAUUAUUAUUAUUAUUAUUAUUAUUAUUAUUAUUAUUAUUAUUAUUAUUAUUAUUAUUAUUAUUAUUAUUAUUAUUAUUAUUAUUAUUAUUAUUAUUAUUAUUAUUAUUAUUAUUAUUAUUAUUAUUAUUAUUAUUAUUAUUAUUAUUAUUAUUAUUAUUAUUAUUAUUAUUAUUAUUAUUAUUAUUAUUAUUAUUAUUAUUAUUAUUAUUAUUAUUAUUAUUAUUAUUAUUAUUAUUAUUAUUAUUAUUAUUAUUAUUAUUAUUAUUAUUAUUAUUAUUAUUAUUAUUAUUAUUAUUAUUAUUAUUAUUAUUAUUAUUAUUAUUAUUAUUAUUAUUAUUAUUAUUAUUAUUAUUAUUAUUAUUAUUAUUAUUAUUAUUAUUAUUAUUAUUAUUAUUAUUAUUAUUAUUAUUAUUAUUAUUAUUAUUAUUAUUAUUAUUAUUAUUAUUAUUAUUAUUAUUAUUAUUAUUAUUAUUAUUAUUAUUAUUAUUAUUAUUAUUAUUAUUAUUAUUAUUAUUAUUAUUAUUAUUAUUAUUAUUAUUAUUAUUAUUAUUAUUAUUAUUAUUAUUAUUAUUAUUAUUAUUAUUAUUAUUAUUAUUAUUAUUAUUAUUAUUAUUAUUAUUAUUAUUAUUAUUAUUAUUAUUAUUAUUAUUAUUAUUAUUAUUAUUAUUAUUAUUAUUAUUAUUAUUAUUAUUAUUAUUAUUAUUAUUAUUAUUAUUAUUAUUAUUAUUAUUAUUAUUAUUAUUAUUAUUAUUAUUAUUAUUAUUAUUAUUAUUAUUAUUAUUAUUAUUAUUAUUAUUAUUAUUAUUAUUAUUAUUAUUAUUAUUAUUAUUAUUAUUAUUAUUAUUAUUAUUAUUAUUAUUAUUAUUAUUAUUAUUAUUAUUAUUAUUAUUAUUAUUAUUAUUAUUAUUAUUAUUAUUAUUAUUAUUAUUAUUAUUAUUAUUAUUAUUAUUAUUAUUAUUAUUAUUAUUAUUAUUAUUAUUAUUAUUAUUAUUAUUAUUAUUAUUAUUAUUAUUAUUAUUAUUAUUAUUAUUAUUAUUAUUAUUAUUAUUAUUAUUAUUAUUAUUAUUAUUAUUAUUAUUAUUAUUAUUAUUAUUAUUAUUAUUAUUAUUAUUAUUAUUAUUAUUAUUAUUAUUAUUAUUAUUAUUAUUAUUAUUAUUAUUAUUAUUAUUAUUAUUAUUAUUAUUAUUAUUAUUAUUAUUAUUAUUAUUAUUAUUAUUAUUAUUAUUAUUAUUAUUAUUAUUAUUAUUAUUAUUAUUAUUAUUAUUAUUAUUAUUAUUAUUAUUAUUAUUAUUAUUAUUAUUAUUAUUAUUAUUAUUAUUAUUAUUAUUAUUAUUAUUAUUAUUAUUAUUAUUAUUAUUAUUAUUAUUAUUAUUAUUAUUAUUAUUAUUAUUAUUAUUAUUAUUAUUAUUAUUAUUAUUAUUAUUAUUAUUAUUAUUAUUAUUAUUAUUAUUAUUAUUAUUAUUAUUAUUAUUAUUAUUAUUAUUAUUAUUAUUAUUAUUAUUAUUAUUAUUAUUAUUAUUAUUAUUAUUAUUAUUAUUAUUAUUAUUAUUAUUAUUAUUAUUAUUAUUAUUAUUAUUAUUAUUAUUAUUAUUAUUAUUAUUAUUAUUAUUAUUAUUAUUAUUAUUAUUAUUAUUAUUAUUAUUAUUAUUAUUAUUAUUAUUAUUAUUAUUAUUAUUAUUAUUAUUAUUAUUAUUAUUAUUAUUAUUAUUAUUAUUAUUAUUAUUAUUAUUAUUAUUAUUAUUAUUAUUAUUAUUAUUAUUAUUAUUAUUAUUAUUAUUAUUAUUAUUAUUAUUAUUAUUAUUAUUAUUAUUAUUAUUAUUAUUAUUAUUAUUAUUAUUAUUAUUAUUAUUAUUAUUAUUAUUAUUAUUAUUAUUAUUAUUAUUAUUAUUAUUAUUAUUAUUAUUAUUAUUAUUAUUAUUAUUAUUAUUAUUAUUAUUAUUAUUAUUAUUAUUAUUAUUAUUAUUAUUAUUAUUAUUAUUAUUAUUAUUAUUAUUAUUAUUAUUAUUAUUAUUAUUAUUAUUAUUAUUAUUAUUAUUAUUAUUAUUAUUAUUAUUAUUAUUAUUAUUAUUAUUAUUAUUAUUAUUAUUAUUAUUAUUAUUAUUAUUAUUAUUAUUAUUAUUAUUAUUAUUAUUAUUAUUAUUAUUAUUAUUAUUAUUAUUAUUAUUAUUAUUAUUAUUAUUAUUAUUAUUAUUAUUAUUAUUAUUAUUAUUAUUAUUAUUAUUAUUAUUAUUAUUAUUAUUAUUAUUAUUAUUAUUAUUAUUAUUAUUAUUAUUAUUAUUAUUAUUAUUAUUAUUAUUAUUAUUAUUAUUAUUAUUAUUAUUAUUAUUAUUAUUAUUAUUAUUAUUAUUAUUAUUAUUAUUAUUAUUAUUAUUAUUAUUAUUAUUAUUAUUAUUAUUAUUAUUAUUAUUAUUAUUAUUAUUAUUAUUAUUAUUAUUAUUAUUAUUAUUAUUAUUAUUAUUAUUAUUAUUAUUAUUAUUAUUAUUAUUAUUAUUAUUAUUAUUAUUAUUAUUAUUAUUAUUAUUAUUAUUAUUAUUAUUAUUAUUAUUAUUAUUAUUAUUAUUAUUAUUAUUAUUAUUAUUAUUAUUAUUAUUAUUAUUAUUAUUAUUAUUAUUAUUAUUAUUAUUAUUAUUAUUAUUAUUAUUAUUAUUAUUAUUAUUAUUAUUAUUAUUAUUAUUAUUAUUAUUAUUAUUAUUAUUAUUAUUAUUAUUAUUAUUAUUAUUAUUAUUAUUAUUAUUAUUAUUAUUAUUAUUAUUAUUAUUAUUAUUAUUAUUAUUAUUAUUAUUAUUAUUAUUAUUAUUAUUAUUAUUAUUAUUAUUAUUAUUAUUAUUAUUAUUAUUAUUAUUAUUAUUAUUAUUAUUAUUAUUAUUAUUAUUAUUAUUAUUAUUAUUAUUAUUAUUAUUAUUAUUAUUAUUAUUAUUAUUAUUAUUAUUAUUAUUAUUAUUAUUAUUAUUAUUAUUAUUAUUAUUAUUAUUAUUAUUAUUAUUAUUAUUAUUAUUAUUAUUAUUAUUAUUAUUAUUAUUAUUAUUAUUAUUAUUAUUAUUAUUAUUAUUAUUAUUAUUAUUAUUAUUAUUAUUAUUAUUAUUAUUAUUAUUAUUAUUAUUAUUAUUAUUAUUAUUAUUAUUAUUAUUAUUAUUAUUAUUAUUAUUAUUAUUAUUAUUAUUAUUAUUAUUAUUAUUAUUAUUAUUAUUAUUAUUAUUAUUAUUAUUAUUAUUAUUAUUAUUAUUAUUAUUAUUAUUAUUAUUAUUAUUAUUAUUAUUAUUAUUAUUAUUAUUAUUAUUAUUAUUAUUAUUAUUAUUAUUAUUAUUAUUAUUAUUAUUAUUAUUAUUAUUAUUAUUAUUAUUAUUAUUAUUAUUAUUAUUAUUAUUAUUAUUAUUAUUAUUAUUAUUAUUAUUAUUAUUAUUAUUAUUAUUAUUAUUAUUAUUAUUAUUAUUAUUAUUAUUAUUAUUAUUAUUAUUAUUAUUAUUAUUAUUAUUAUUAUUAUUAUUAUUAUUAUUAUUAUUAUUAUUAUUAUUAUUAUUAUUAUUAUUAUUAUUAUUAUUAUUAUUAUUAUUAUUAUUAUUAUUAUUAUUAUUAUUAUUAUUAUUAUUAUUAUUAUUAUUAUUAUUAUUAUUAUUAUUAUUAUUAUUAUUAUUAUUAUUAUUAUUAUUAUUAUUAUUAUUAUUAUUAUUAUUAUUAUUAUUAUUAUUAUUAUUAUUAUUAUUAUUAUUAUUAUUAUUAUUAUUAUUAUUAUUAUUAUUAUUAUUAUUAUUAUUAUUAUUAUUAUUAUUAUUAUUAUUAUUAUUAUUAUUAUUAUUAUUAUUAUUAUUAUUAUUAUUAUUAUUAUUAUUAUUAUUAUUAUUAUUAUUAUUAUUAUUAUUAUUAUUAUUAUUAUUAUUAUUAUUAUUAUUAUUAUUAUUAUUAUUAUUAUUAUUAUUAUUAUUAUUAUUAUUAUUAUUAUUAUUAUUAUUAUUAUUAUUAUUAUUAUUAUUAUUAUUAUUAUUAUUAUUAUUAUUAUUAUUAUUAUUAUUAUUAUUAUUAUUAUUAUUAUUAUUAUUAUUAUUAUUAUUAUUAUUAUUAUUAUUAUUAUUAUUAUUAUUAUUAUUAUUAUUAUUAUUAUUAUUAUUAUUAUUAUUAUUAUUAUUAUUAUUAUUAUUAUUAUUAUUAUUAUUAUUAUUAUUAUUAUUAUUAUUAUUAUUAUUAUUAUUAUUAUUAUUAUUAUUAUUAUUAUUAUUAUUAUUAUUAUUAUUAUUAUUAUUAUUAUUAUUAUUAUUAUUAUUAUUAUUAUUAUUAUUAUUAUUAUUAUUAUUAUUAUUAUUAUUAUUAUUAUUAUUAUUAUUAUUAUUAUUAUUAUUAUUAUUAUUAUUAUUAUUAUUAUUAUUAUUAUUAUUAUUAUUAUUAUUAUUAUUAUUAUUAUUAUUAUUAUUAUUAUUAUUAUUAUUAUUAUUAUUAUUAUUAUUAUUAUUAUUAUUAUUAUUAUUAUUAUUAUUAUUAUUAUUAUUAUUAUUAUUAUUAUUAUUAUUAUUAUUAUUAUUAUUAUUAUUAUUAUUAUUAUUAUUAUUAUUAUUAUUAUUAUUAUUAUUAUUAUUAUUAUUAUUAUUAUUAUUAUUAUUAUUAUUAUUAUUAUUAUUAUUAUUAUUAUUAUUAUUAUUAUUAUUAUUAUUAUUAUUAUUAUUAUUAUUAUUAUUAUUAUUAUUAUUAUUAUUAUUAUUAUUAUUAUUAUUAUUAUUAUUAUUAUUAUUAUUAUUAUUAUUAUUAUUAUUAUUAUUAUUAUUAUUAUUAUUAUUAUUAUUAUUAUUAUUAUUAUUAUUAUUAUUAUUAUUAUUAUUAUUAUUAUUAUUAUUAUUAUUAUUAUUAUUAUUAUUAUUAUUAUUAUUAUUAUUAUUAUUAUUAUUAUUAUUAUUAUUAUUAUUAUUAUUAUUAUUAUUAUUAUUAUUAUUAUUAUUAUUAUUAUUAUUAUUAUUAUUAUUAUUAUUAUUAUUAUUAUUAUUAUUAUUAUUAUUAUUAUUAUUAUUAUUAUUAUUAUUAUUAUUAUUAUUAUUAUUAUUAUUAUUAUUAUUAUUAUUAUUAUUAUUAUUAUUAUUAUUAUUAUUAUUAUUAUUAUUAUUAUUAUUAUUAUUAUUAUUAUUAUUAUUAUUAUUAUUAUUAUUAUUAUUAUUAUUAUUAUUAUUAUUAUUAUUAUUAUUAUUAUUAUUAUUAUUAUUAUUAUUAUUAUUAUUAUUAUUAUUAUUAUUAUUAUUAUUAUUAUUAUUAUUAUUAUUAUUAUUAUUAUUAUUAUUAUUAUUAUUAUUAUUAUUAUUAUUAUUAUUAUUAUUAUUAUUAUUAUUAUUAUUAUUAUUAUUAUUAUUAUUAUUAUUAUUAUUAUUAUUAUUAUUAUUAUUAUUAUUAUUAUUAUUAUUAUUAUUAUUAUUAUUAUUAUUAUUAUUAUUAUUAUUAUUAUUAUUAUUAUUAUUAUUAUUAUUAUUAUUAUUAUUAUUAUUAUUAUUAUUAUUAUUAUUAUUAUUAUUAUUAUUAUUAUUAUUAUUAUUAUUAUUAUUAUUAUUAUUAUUAUUAUUAUUAUUAUUAUUAUUAUUAUUAUUAUUAUUAUUAUUAUUAUUAUUAUUAUUAUUAUUAUUAUUAUUAUUAUUAUUAUUAUUAUUAUUAUUAUUAUUAUUAUUAUUAUUAUUAUUAUUAUUAUUAUUAUUAUUAUUAUUAUUAUUAUUAUUAUUAUUAUUAUUAUUAUUAUUAUUAUUAUUAUUAUUAUUAUUAUUAUUAUUAUUAUUAUUAUUAUUAUUAUUAUUAUUAUUAUUAUUAUUAUUAUUAUUAUUAUUAUUAUUAUUAUUAUUAUUAUUAUUAUUAUUAUUAUUAUUAUUAUUAUUAUUAUUAUUAUUAUUAUUAUUAUUAUUAUUAUUAUUAUUAUUAUUAUUAUUAUUAUUAUUAUUAUUAUUAUUAUUAUUAUUAUUAUUAUUAUUAUUAUUAUUAUUAUUAUUAUUAUUAUUAUUAUUAUUAUUAUUAUUAUUAUUAUUAUUAUUAUUAUUAUUAUUAUUAUUAUUAUUAUUAUUAUUAUUAUUAUUAUUAUUAUUAUUAUUAUUAUUAUUAUUAUUAUUAUUAUUAUUAUUAUUAUUAUUAUUAUUAUUAUUAUUAUUAUUAUUAUUAUUAUUAUUAUUAUUAUUAUUAUUAUUAUUAUUAUUAUUAUUAUUAUUAUUAUUAUUAUUAUUAUUAUUAUUAUUAUUAUUAUUAUUAUUAUUAUUAUUAUUAUUAUUAUUAUUAUUAUUAUUAUUAUUAUUAUUAUUAUUAUUAUUAUUAUUAUUAUUAUUAUUAUUAUUAUUAUUAUUAUUAUUAUUAUUAUUAUUAUUAUUAUUAUUAUUAUUAUUAUUAUUAUUAUUAUUAUUAUUAUUAUUAUUAUUAUUAUUAUUAUUAUUAUUAUUAUUAUUAUUAUUAUUAUUAUUAUUAUUAUUAUUAUUAUUAUUAUUAUUAUUAUUAUUAUUAUUAUUAUUAUUAUUAUUAUUAUUAUUAUUAUUAUUAUUAUUAUUAUUAUUAUUAUUAUUAUUAUUAUUAUUAUUAUUAUUAUUAUUAUUAUUAUUAUUAUUAUUAUUAUUAUUAUUAUUAUUAUUAUUAUUAUUAUUAUUAUUAUUAUUAUUAUUAUUAUUAUUAUUAUUAUUAUUAUUAUUAUUAUUAUUAUUAUUAUUAUUAUUAUUAUUAUUAUUAUUAUUAUUAUUAUUAUUAUUAUUAUUAUUAUUAUUAUUAUUAUUAUUAUUAUUAUUAUUAUUAUUAUUAUUAUUAUUAUUAUUAUUAUUAUUAUUAUUAUUAUUAUUAUUAUUAUUAUUAUUAUUAUUAUUAUUAUUAUUAUUAUUAUUAUUAUUAUUAUUAUUAUUAUUAUUAUUAUUAUUAUUAUUAUUAUUAUUAUUAUUAUUAUUAUUAUUAUUAUUAUUAUUAUUAUUAUUAUUAUUAUUAUUAUUAUUAUUAUUAUUAUUAUUAUUAUUAUUAUUAUUAUUAUUAUUAUUAUUAUUAUUAUUAUUAUUAUUAUUAUUAUUAUUAUUAUUAUUAUUAUUAUUAUUAUUAUUAUUAUUAUUAUUAUUAUUAUUAUUAUUAUUAUUAUUAUUAUUAUUAUUAUUAUUAUUAUUAUUAUUAUUAUUAUUAUUAUUAUUAUUAUUAUUAUUAUUAUUAUUAUUAUUAUUAUUAUUAUUAUUAUUAUUAUUAUUAUUAUUAUUAUUAUUAUUAUUAUUAUUAUUAUUAUUAUUAUUAUUAUUAUUAUUAUUAUUAUUAUUAUUAUUAUUAUUAUUAUUAUUAUUAUUAUUAUUAUUAUUAUUAUUAUUAUUAUUAUUAUUAUUAUUAUUAUUAUUAUUAUUAUUAUUAUUAUUAUUAUUAUUAUUAUUAUUAUUAUUAUUAUUAUUAUUAUUAUUAUUAUUAUUAUUAUUAUUAUUAUUAUUAUUAUUAUUAUUAUUAUUAUUAUUAUUAUUAUUAUUAUUAUUAUUAUUAUUAUUAUUAUUAUUAUUAUUAUUAUUAUUAUUAUUAUUAUUAUUAUUAUUAUUAUUAUUAUUAUUAUUAUUAUUAUUAUUAUUAUUAUUAUUAUUAUUAUUAUUAUUAUUAUUAUUAUUAUUAUUAUUAUUAUUAUUAUUAUUAUUAUUAUUAUUAUUAUUAUUAUUAUUAUUAUUAUUAUUAUUAUUAUUAUUAUUAUUAUUAUUAUUAUUAUUAUUAUUAUUAUUAUUAUUAUUAUUAUUAUUAUUAUUAUUAUUAUUAUUAUUAUUAUUAUUAUUAUUAUUAUUAUUAUUAUUAUUAUUAUUAUUAUUAUUAUUAUUAUUAUUAUUAUUAUUAUUAUUAUUAUUAUUAUUAUUAUUAUUAUUAUUAUUAUUAUUAUUAUUAUUAUUAUUAUUAUUAUUAUUAUUAUUAUUAUUAUUAUUAUUAUUAUUAUUAUUAUUAUUAUUAUUAUUAUUAUUAUUAUUAUUAUUAUUAUUAUUAUUAUUAUUAUUAUUAUUAUUAUUAUUAUUAUUAUUAUUAUUAUUAUUAUUAUUAUUAUUAUUAUUAUUAUUAUUAUUAUUAUUAUUAUUAUUAUUAUUAUUAUUAUUAUUAUUAUUAUUAUUAUUAUUAUUAUUAUUAUUAUUAUUAUUAUUAUUAUUAUUAUUAUUAUUAUUAUUAUUAUUAUUAUUAUUAUUAUUAUUAUUAUUAUUAUUAUUAUUAUUAUUAUUAUUAUUAUUAUUAUUAUUAUUAUUAUUAUUAUUAUUAUUAUUAUUAUUAUUAUUAUUAUUAUUAUUAUUAUUAUUAUUAUUAUUAUUAUUAUUAUUAUUAUUAUUAUUAUUAUUAUUAUUAUUAUUAUUAUUAUUAUUAUUAUUAUUAUUAUUAUUAUUAUUAUUAUUAUUAUUAUUAUUAUUAUUAUUAUUAUUAUUAUUAUUAUUAUUAUUAUUAUUAUUAUUAUUAUUAUUAUUAUUAUUAUUAUUAUUAUUAUUAUUAUUAUUAUUAUUAUUAUUAUUAUUAUUAUUAUUAUUAUUAUUAUUAUUAUUAUUAUUAUUAUUAUUAUUAUUAUUAUUAUUAUUAUUAUUAUUAUUAUUAUUAUUAUUAUUAUUAUUAUUAUUAUUAUUAUUAUUAUUAUUAUUAUUAUUAUUAUUAUUAUUAUUAUUAUUAUUAUUAUUAUUAUUAUUAUUAUUAUUAUUAUUAUUAUUAUUAUUAUUAUUAUUAUUAUUAUUAUUAUUAUUAUUAUUAUUAUUAUUAUUAUUAUUAUUAUUAUUAUUAUUAUUAUUAUUAUUAUUAUUAUUAUUAUUAUUAUUAUUAUUAUUAUUAUUAUUAUUAUUAUUAUUAUUAUUAUUAUUAUUAUUAUUAUUAUUAUUAUUAUUAUUAUUAUUAUUAUUAUUAUUAUUAUUAUUAUUAUUAUUAUUAUUAUUAUUAUUAUUAUUAUUAUUAUUAUUAUUAUUAUUAUUAUUAUUAUUAUUAUUAUUAUUAUUAUUAUUAUUAUUAUUAUUAUUAUUAUUAUUAUUAUUAUUAUUAUUAUUAUUAUUAUUAUUAUUAUUAUUAUUAUUAUUAUUAUUAUUAUUAUUAUUAUUAUUAUUAUUAUUAUUAUUAUUAUUAUUAUUAUUAUUAUUAUUAUUAUUAUUAUUAUUAUUAUUAUUAUUAUUAUUAUUAUUAUUAUUAUUAUUAUUAUUAUUAUUAUUAUUAUUAUUAUUAUUAUUAUUAUUAUUAUUAUUAUUAUUAUUAUUAUUAUUAUUAUUAUUAUUAUUAUUAUUAUUAUUAUUAUUAUUAUUAUUAUUAUUAUUAUUAUUAUUAUUAUUAUUAUUAUUAUUAUUAUUAUUAUUAUUAUUAUUAUUAUUAUUAUUAUUAUUAUUAUUAUUAUUAUUAUUAUUAUUAUUAUUAUUAUUAUUAUUAUUAUUAUUAUUAUUAUUAUUAUUAUUAUUAUUAUUAUUAUUAUUAUUAUUAUUAUUAUUAUUAUUAUUAUUAUUAUUAUUAUUAUUAUUAUUAUUAUUAUUAUUAUUAUUAUUAUUAUUAUUAUUAUUAUUAUUAUUAUUAUUAUUAUUAUUAUUAUUAUUAUUAUUAUUAUUAUUAUUAUUAUUAUUAUUAUUAUUAUUAUUAUUAUUAUUAUUAUUAUUAUUAUUAUUAUUAUUAUUAUUAUUAUUAUUAUUAUUAUUAUUAUUAUUAUUAUUAUUAUUAUUAUUAUUAUUAUUAUUAUUAUUAUUAUUAUUAUUAUUAUUAUUAUUAUUAUUAUUAUUAUUAUUAUUAUUAUUAUUAUUAUUAUUAUUAUUAUUAUUAUUAUUAUUAUUAUUAUUAUUAUUAUUAUUAUUAUUAUUAUUAUUAUUAUUAUUAUUAUUAUUAUUAUUAUUAUUAUUAUUAUUAUUAUUAUUAUUAUUAUUAUUAUUAUUAUUAUUAUUAUUAUUAUUAUUAUUAUUAUUAUUAUUAUUAUUAUUAUUAUUAUUAUUAUUAUUAUUAUUAUUAUUAUUAUUAUUAUUAUUAUUAUUAUUAUUAUUAUUAUUAUUAUUAUUAUUAUUAUUAUUAUUAUUAUUAUUAUUAUUAUUAUUAUUAUUAUUAUUAUUAUUAUUAUUAUUAUUAUUAUUAUUAUUAUUAUUAUUAUUAUUAUUAUUAUUAUUAUUAUUAUUAUUAUUAUUAUUAUUAUUAUUAUUAUUAUUAUUAUUAUUAUUAUUAUUAUUAUUAUUAUUAUUAUUAUUAUUAUUAUUAUUAUUAUUAUUAUUAUUAUUAUUAUUAUUAUUAUUAUUAUUAUUAUUAUUAUUAUUAUUAUUAUUAUUAUUAUUAUUAUUAUUAUUAUUAUUAUUAUUAUUAUUAUUAUUAUUAUUAUUAUUAUUAUUAUUAUUAUUAUUAUUAUUAUUAUUAUUAUUAUUAUUAUUAUUAUUAUUAUUAUUAUUAUUAUUAUUAUUAUUAUUAUUAUUAUUAUUAUUAUUAUUAUUAUUAUUAUUAUUAUUAUUAUUAUUAUUAUUAUUAUUAUUAUUAUUAUUAUUAUUAUUAUUAUUAUUAUUAUUAUUAUUAUUAUUAUUAUUAUUAUUAUUAUUAUUAUUAUUAUUAUUAUUAUUAUUAUUAUUAUUAUUAUUAUUAUUAUUAUUAUUAUUAUUAUUAUUAUUAUUAUUAUUAUUAUUAUUAUUAUUAUUAUUAUUAUUAUUAUUAUUAUUAUUAUUAUUAUUAUUAUUAUUAUUAUUAUUAUUAUUAUUAUUAUUAUUAUUAUUAUUAUUAUUAUUAUUAUUAUUAUUAUUAUUAUUAUUAUUAUUAUUAUUAUUAUUAUUAUUAUUAUUAUUAUUAUUAUUAUUAUUAUUAUUAUUAUUAUUAUUAUUAUUAUUAUUAUUAUUAUUAUUAUUAUUAUUAUUAUUAUUAUUAUUAUUAUUAUUAUUAUUAUUAUUAUUAUUAUUAUUAUUAUUAUUAUUAUUAUUAUUAUUAUUAUUAUUAUUAUUAUUAUUAUUAUUAUUAUUAUUAUUAUUAUUAUUAUUAUUAUUAUUAUUAUUAUUAUUAUUAUUAUUAUUAUUAUUAUUAUUAUUAUUAUUAUUAUUAUUAUUAUUAUUAUUAUUAUUAUUAUUAUUAUUAUUAUUAUUAUUAUUAUUAUUAUUAUUAUUAUUAUUAUUAUUAUUAUUAUUAUUAUUAUUAUUAUUAUUAUUAUUAUUAUUAUUAUUAUUAUUAUUAUUAUUAUUAUUAUUAUUAUUAUUAUUAUUAUUAUUAUUAUUAUUAUUAUUAUUAUUAUUAUUAUUAUUAUUAUUAUUAUUAUUAUUAUUAUUAUUAUUAUUAUUAUUAUUAUUAUUAUUAUUAUUAUUAUUAUUAUUAUUAUUAUUAUUAUUAUUAUUAUUAUUAUUAUUAUUAUUAUUAUUAUUAUUAUUAUUAUUAUUAUUAUUAUUAUUAUUAUUAUUAUUAUUAUUAUUAUUAUUAUUAUUAUUAUUAUUAUUAUUAUUAUUAUUAUUAUUAUUAUUAUUAUUAUUAUUAUUAUUAUUAUUAUUAUUAUUAUUAUUAUUAUUAUUAUUAUUAUUAUUAUUAUUAUUAUUAUUAUUAUUAUUAUUAUUAUUAUUAUUAUUAUUAUUAUUAUUAUUAUUAUUAUUAUUAUUAUUAUUAUUAUUAUUAUUAUUAUUAUUAUUAUUAUUAUUAUUAUUAUUAUUAUUAUUAUUAUUAUUAUUAUUAUUAUUAUUAUUAUUAUUAUUAUUAUUAUUAUUAUUAUUAUUAUUAUUAUUAUUAUUAUUAUUAUUAUUAUUAUUAUUAUUAUUAUUAUUAUUAUUAUUAUUAUUAUUAUUAUUAUUAUUAUUAUUAUUAUUAUUAUUAUUAUUAUUAUUAUUAUUAUUAUUAUUAUUAUUAUUAUUAUUAUUAUUAUUAUUAUUAUUAUUAUUAUUAUUAUUAUUAUUAUUAUUAUUAUUAUUAUUAUUAUUAUUAUUAUUAUUAUUAUUAUUAUUAUUAUUAUUAUUAUUAUUAUUAUUAUUAUUAUUAUUAUUAUUAUUAUUAUUAUUAUUAUUAUUAUUAUUAUUAUUAUUAUUAUUAUUAUUAUUAUUAUUAUUAUUAUUAUUAUUAUUAUUAUUAUUAUUAUUAUUAUUAUUAUUAUUAUUAUUAUUAUUAUUAUUAUUAUUAUUAUUAUUAUUAUUAUUAUUAUUAUUAUUAUUAUUAUUAUUAUUAUUAUUAUUAUUAUUAUUAUUAUUAUUAUUAUUAUUAUUAUUAUUAUUAUUAUUAUUAUUAUUAUUAUUAUUAUUAUUAUUAUUAUUAUUAUUAUUAUUAUUAUUAUUAUUAUUAUUAUUAUUAUUAUUAUUAUUAUUAUUAUUAUUAUUAUUAUUAUUAUUAUUAUUAUUAUUAUUAUUAUUAUUAUUAUUAUUAUUAUUAUUAUUAUUAUUAUUAUUAUUAUUAUUAUUAUUAUUAUUAUUAUUAUUAUUAUUAUUAUUAUUAUUAUUAUUAUUAUUAUUAUUAUUAUUAUUAUUAUUAUUAUUAUUAUUAUUAUUAUUAUUAUUAUUAUUAUUAUUAUUAUUAUUAUUAUUAUUAUUAUUAUUAUUAUUAUUAUUAUUAUUAUUAUUAUUAUUAUUAUUAUUAUUAUUAUUAUUAUUAUUAUUAUUAUUAUUAUUAUUAUUAUUAUUAUUAUUAUUAUUAUUAUUAUUAUUAUUAUUAUUAUUAUUAUUAUUAUUAUUAUUAUUAUUAUUAUUAUUAUUAUUAUUAUUAUUAUUAUUAUUAUUAUUAUUAUUAUUAUUAUUAUUAUUAUUAUUAUUAUUAUUAUUAUUAUUAUUAUUAUUAUUAUUAUUAUUAUUAUUAUUAUUAUUAUUAUUAUUAUUAUUAUUAUUAUUAUUAUUAUUAUUAUUAUUAUUAUUAUUAUUAUUAUUAUUAUUAUUAUUAUUAUUAUUAUUAUUAUUAUUAUUAUUAUUAUUAUUAUUAUUA
rnacentral:lncRNA from 1 species